CCUAACUCUUCCGGACAAUACUGGCAAUUUCAAUAAAAUUACAACCUAAUAGAGUAAAUCCAUCUACUAAACAUCCAAAAUUGACAAUGUAAAAUUUCAAUAUCACUAAUAACACCCCAAACCUAAAUUUUGCAGCAAAUUGAUGGCACAUAUGAGGGUGUUUUAGAACAUAGUGUAUCUUAAAUUAUUUUGGAUUAAAUAACGUGACCUUUUUUGGGUGAAAACAAAUUAUAGCACACUUAUUUUAAAGGGAAAUUAUUAGUCAUAUACCCUUAAAUAAUUUAUUGCUGUUCAUUUUCUUCCACUUUCCAUUUCUUUUGCUUCUGAACUCCACGGCUCUAGUACUUCCUGGAAAUGCACUUCACUAUGAACGGAAGGUUAUCUCACAAUCUUAUACAUCUCAGCCAGUGUCUCACAAUCCACUUUUGCAACCAGUGAAGCGCCUGUAACUUUCCAUGCUGACGAGUGAAAAAUCACCUGCACACGUUGAUUGUUUUCAAUGAAGUUGGUGAAAUUUCUUUCUGUCAAAGCAACCACAUCCUUCUCAUUGAUGAGUUCUGGUGGCGGCAUCAUCUUGCGAUUGACAGAGCGGGGAGUGCUAAUAUAUCUGAUGGCUGGUAAUACAUCGUCGUUUUGUUGCUUGGGCUCGAGGAAUGCCAGGUUUAGUACGGCUUUGUUGUAGAAUUGAUUUGGUACUGAUGGCAAAUUAUUGCAAUAUUUUUGAGAGAGAGGUGUGAAGGUUAAGAUUUUGCAGCGGAGAAGAAUUGAAAGUAUAAGAAGUAGAAAUGAUUUUGCCAUUGCCAUUGCUUUCUAAUUUCGGAUUAUCGUGUGAGCAAGAUGAUAUAUAGCCGGCUAAUGGACCUUGGAGAAUUUCUAAAAGAGUGGUGAUAUUGUACCAUUCAGAAAAUUUUUUAUGAUAAAAUUAGUAAUCGCCCUAGUUCUUGCCUUUACAUAAUAAAACCUUUGCAUGAAACAUUUGAUAGAAUUAAUCGAAUUAAAAAAAAUAGACAAAAUACUGACGAAAACAACAGUACUGAAAUAAUAAUAAUUUACUUAAUUAACACGGUAAAUAGGCAGUAAUACGUCAGUUUUGUCUCUUUAUCAUUUUCUAUAAAUUGAAGAAUAUUAUAUUCAUUUUAGACUAACCGGAACUUCAUGUGUCUAGUUUAUGAGACCCAUGUGGCUUUUGUCUUUGUGAUAAUAACACUGUAGAAUUCUAAAAAGUUUGCAAUUUUUUAAUUUUUAAUUUCAUGUAUUUAAUACUUGAUUUUUCAGUUUGAUUGUGAUUCACUUUCUUGAAUUGAGUUAAUUUAGAGAAUAGCUUAAUCUAUGAUAGUGCGGAGAUUUAGUAAAAUUUUCCGUUCAGAUUUAGCCAUUGUGUCCCCUUCUUUCAAUAGAUACAAAUCACCCAAAAGUUCUUGAUUUUGGUAGUUUGCGCUUUGUAUUGCAACGUACGGUGUGUUCUAUAUGAGAAAAAAAAAAUAUUAAACAUUUCUGUUGUUUUCUUGCAGUGCCACCUGAUGCUUGAUCUAUUUAGUCAUCAAAUUGAUGUUUAUCUGUUCAUUUGUAUCAACGAGUUAAGAGAAUUAACAGUUUUCUAGAUAUUUUGUACACAUAAAAUAAUGCCAUAAUUGAAUUUGCCCAUGGCCAUGCACAUACAAGUAGUCAAAGCAAAAGAAUCCACAUUCUAAUUUAAAAGAUCAAAUCUAAUGUCACGAAUAUAUAUAUAUAGUCAUAACUAAAAUUUCGUACUUCUGAUGUCUAAGUUACAGACAACAACAAUUGUAUUUGUGCCCAGCCACUUUUGUCGUAAUCAUUUUGUGGGAAAUAGAAAUUGGAUCAGAUACCCUAAAAUGCUUCUUUAAUAACCCUUCUUAUUUUCCAGUAGAGUUGUAUCUGACUGCUGGCUCCUUAACUUGUCUUCCAAGAAAUCCAAUGCAAAUGACUACAAGAACAAGUAAAAAGCUCAUAUCACGACAGAAUCUUGAAUUUUCAUCUAUUAUUAUUCAGCAUUAGGAAAGAUAUACAUAUAAUAAUAAUGAAGGGGGAAAAAUAUGCACACCUUUAUGUUGCUUAGGGUCAAUUCACCAUUCAAUACAUACUUCUCGCCAUUGACAGCAAUUACCUGCAUUGAAAUUUGCAUAGCAACCCAAUUUUUCGUAUUUAAUUACGGAGGAAAUUAAAAAAAAAAAAAGCAUUCAUAAAGAUUUAACAGAAUUUGAUGAUAAAGCAAGGAACUCACUCUUGGAGCAUGACCUGUGAUGCCAAAAUAAUCAGAAAUUUGUCUCCUAUCAGUUUGCAACAAGUCCAUUUGAAAAUACACAAAGAGAAGCUGGCAAACAAUUAAUUUCAUCAAUUAUUAUUUAAGAUCAUAAUGAUAAUUAUUUUGACAGGCUAUUAAUUUCAGUGGGUUUCUGUUAACCAAGUUUCGACAAAAUUUUGCUUGAUCUCCUUACAUCUCUAUAUUUACCUUUCCUUUAAAAGCUUUGGCUGCCUCUUGAAAUAUUGAUUUAGUCUCAGAAUCAUGAACAGUCGCAAAAAGCCAUAACUGAGAACAAAUUUAUGAACUCGUUAAGACCUGAAAAUUUUUUAAUUUUUCCAAGGUAAAGAUGAUGUAAACUAAUAAUUACCUCUUGCAAGCGGGAAUCUAAAAUCAAUGCAGCAGUUUCCCUGGUGUAAGUAAUCAUCGGAGGAAUCUUAUUCAAUGAUAUGAAGUCAUAAAUUCUUGCAUCAGUAAAUGGACCAUCUCAGAAAAUGGAGCAAAAAAUGCACAAGGCUUGUGUAAAUUUUCCAUUUUGAAGCACUCAUAAUCAUUUGCAGAGAGAUAACUUCUAAAACAAAGCAAAGUGGCUAAGCUGUUUAGAUUCCUUUUCCAGCAAGACUAGAGCAGGGCGUUUGAUUUCUGGGUCAAUCAGAAACAUCUUUGCAACAUCAGCUCUAGUAGUUUGAAAGAAUAUAACAUCAGGAUGCAGCUUUGAUGCGGCCGCAAGCUUUUCAUUUUCCGUGCCCUAACAAACAAAAUUGAGUCUUUUGUAACAUUUAUGAUUCAAUAAGAGAUGUUAAAAUAGAAACAGUCUAAGAAAUUGCUCAUAUUAUGUGAGUGGGAGUGGACCUUUAAAGAGUCAAGGAAUCCCAAAGCAAUUGUAGAUUCAGCUGUUAGUAAGUGCUCCGCUUUCUCUAUUUUCAUCAAGGUGUAAAGAUCACCAGACAUCUUAGUCUUUAUAUAAUUCACAAUAGCAUCCCUUCAAAACCAAAAUUUGUGUUAGGUUAGGUUAUUCAUUUUGCACACGUUCUCAACAACCAAACAGAUUUAGAAGGGUUUUAUUGAACAAAAAAAAAAUCCAACAAAAGAAAACAAAUGUUCAAAGAACAAAAAGAAAACUCACUUCGUCCUGUUAUGAUAAUAAGUAUCCACAUGCACUCCAUUAACAAAGAAAUAAAUAGUUGGUUAUGCUUGAAUUCUCCAUUUUUUCCCCAACUCUAUCACGCUCAUAGCAUUAACUUUUUGCUAGCACUGAUUUGUCCUUCAGCUCAGUGGCAGCGGCUUCAUAUUCUGGAGCAAGUUUCUUGCUCUGGGGGGACCAUGGUGCAUAAAAAAGCACCAUCACAUGCUGAUUCUUGGCUAUAACAUGAUUAAAAUUCUUGUCACUUAGUUUCACCACCACAUCUUCUUUUUCAUCAAUUGCCGGUGGCAACUUGUGCUUUUGAUCAUUGAAACUGUUGUAAGAAUCUGAAAGUUCAACAGUGUUUCCGUAAGAGAUUGGAGGAAGUUUCUUGAAUACGGAAACACACAAUACAUAGCCUCCAUCAUAAUCUAUUUUGUAAACACAGAAAGGUGAAAGCCGAAAAAGAAUAAACAAAAGAAAUAUUGUGGUGGAGAGCAAAGGAGAUAAGCUUUUGUUGACAUUGUUGAGCAGCCGGCCUAGAGUAGGUGUUCUGUAAUUUGUACUUGAAAUCUUCAAAUAAUUGUUGGCUAAUGACAAGAGAAAAGUAAUUAAAUGCUCCUUGUGUUAAUUAUUUUCAAAGAUGCAGACAAAAGGCUAAAAAUAUUUUUUAAAAAAAAGUUAUCUUGAUUUCUUUUCAGAAAUUACAUUAUUAACACAUUGUUGAUAGAAAGGAACCCUCUAGCCUGACAAAGCACAAUUGAUAAAGGCAAGAUCCACAUCUCUAUCUCAUAAAACCAGUGCUUUUGUGAACAUCACUAUGGAACAGUACUGUCACUGAAUCUUGAUCAUCUCUUAUUAUAAUCUUUAAAAAGCAUCUGCUUGGAACUUGUAUUAGAAACUUUCUGUAUGUGAAUGGAAUACCUACAUUUGUUCACAAUUAUUUGUUAACUUCUCCAAUUAUUUCUUUCUGGAUCAACUUCAGUAUUUUUGAGACGUAUGCAGAGUUACACAAAUUCACCACCAAUUGGAACAACAAUGUCGAAGACAUAUUGUUGCAAAUAUCACAUACUAACGGAAACUUGCUUCUCUUGCUUUCUCAUUUCAAUUGGGACUAGAGUGACAUUUCUUCUGAGUUCAAAAACGGGAAACAUCUCUGUGUGGCCCAAUCCAUAUCUUGCGGAAUCCUUUGAAGAACGGGCUGAAUCACACCAGGAGGAAGAUACAACUAGGCCCAACACAUAACCUGUUGCAAGCCCAUCGCAAAUGAGAAAAUCACCCAACUGGCUGAAGGAUUAUGUUGUUUGAGAAGCAGGAAGUUGUGGAUUCCUUUAUAGAAUCUUUUAUCCGUUUGAUAUUUUCUUUUGGCUUUACAAUUGCUAUUUUUUGUAACCACCUUUUGUUAGAGGUUCUGUUAGAGGUUGUUAGAGGUGAAGCAUAUAAGCAUUGUAAGGUUUAAAAAGCAAAGGAAUGAAAAUACUCAAUUCUCUUUCUUCUCUGGAAUUUUCUUUCUUCUUAACCUCUGUUCUGCUCUUAAUUCUUUUUUAUUUGGAGCUGGCACUUGCUCGAAGAGUGUUUUGUUGAGUUGAUUUGCUUGUGUUGUAGGACAAACGUAUCAUUGGUGCUUUCAUUGACUUUUCCAUGGCUGAUUCAGAGGUGUUGGCAGCAAUGAAGGCACUCCAAACGUAAUUGGAAGGCCAAACAAUUGCGAUUCAUCAAAACUUGUAGCAGUACAUGUCCACAGUAGAUUCUCAUCUUGAGAAUCUACGUUCUCAGAUCCAAGGGUCUUCGAGUGUUUUGGUUGCAUCAUCAGGUUCCGCACAUCGCUCUUCUCUAGUUGCGGAGGGGCAUUCAGGACACACCGAUCUCUCGCCGAUAUUACGAUCAAUGAAAAUGGAGGUUCCCAAGUUUGAUGACUCUGUCCCGAAUCGGUGGGUGUUUCGUAUUGAAGAGUUUUUUUUAUUUCCAUGAAACUCCAGAGCACUUGCUCCUUCGCAUCAUCACGUUUCACGUGGAAGGGAGAGCGGCAGCUUGGUACCAAUGGAUGAAGGCGAACAAACUGAUAACAACAUGGAAAGAUUUUCUAAUUAGUUUGAAGCAUCAGUUUGGUGCUUCAAUGUAUGACGAUCCUUAAGGUACACUUUCCAAACUUAUACAAACCACCACAGUCGCAAAGUUUCAGUCAGCCUUUGAAGAUUUGAUGAAUAAGGUCACUGGAAUUUAUGAACCCUUGUUGAUCAGUUCCUUUAUCAUUGUUUGAGAACGGAUAUUCACAAGGAGUUGAUGUUUUCCCGCCCUACAUCUCUGAUGAAUGCCUUUGCUCUCGCAGAAGCUUAUAAAGCUCGUUUAGAGGAGGCCAAAAUGAGUGGCCGCCCUUGGACUAAAUGGCCCCCACUGUCGGCCCCAACUAUGACCAUUCCAUCCAUCAGCAAAAUUCUUCCACCCUCACAUGUGCCUAUUCCCACCCCCACCACAAACAGUUCCCAUGUAGCUCCCACAACACACCAACCUCUUAAACAAACAAACCUUCCAACCCUUUUACCUACACCAAAUUUACCAAUUCCCCGCCUCACUCCAGCUAAAUUACGAGACAAAUGAGAAAAAGGAUUGUGUUAUAACUGUGAUAAAAAAUACAGUGCAAACCAUCACUAUCGUAGUAAGUUUUUUAUUCUUAUGGGGACUGACGAUGAUGAAAAUGAGGAUACUACGAAGUUGGCCAUGGCGGAGCCAUUUGAGGAAAUGGUAACGACAGAUAUUUCAAGCUUGAAUGCCCUCGCGGGGCAGGUGAAUCCCCAUUCAUUUUGACUGAUUGGCAAGGUUGGUAACCACUGCUUUCAAGUGCUUAUUGAUAGUGGGAGUACCCAUAAUUUUAUUAAACCUGUGUUGGCUGAACGAUUGGGACUUCCUAUUCAACCCACGACUGAUUUUCAGGUUUAUAUUGGUAAUGGUGACUUCUUGGUGUGCCAACUAUAUUGUUCGCAAGUGACUCUGACUAUGCAAGGUUAUGCAUUUACUCUGGACUUAUUUGUUUUACCAAUUGAGGGGUCGGAUGUGGUUUUGGGUAUUCAGUGGCUUCAACGCUUAAAGAGGGUGUCCCAUGACUAUGCUGCCAUGACGAUGGACUUCUAUUGGGAUGGGAAAUCGAUCAGCCUUCGUGGGGACCACCAAUUCACUGAGUUUAAUUACUUUUAACCAAUUUCAAGCCCUUAUGCAUAGCACAACUGUUCAGAACUUAUUUGAGCUACAACAAAUACAUUCGGACCAAGAUAGAGGCUCCGAAGUCUUAGAACUUCCAGUUUCACUGCCCACUCUGAUUUCUCACCUCCUUUACAAAUUUCACAACUUAUUCUGCCCCCUAACAGGCCUUUCCCCACUGUUUCAUUAACUAUAGAAUUCACCUACUACCAAACACAAAACCAGUGAAUGCUCGGCCUUAUUGCUAUCUUCACUUCCAAAAAACAAAGAUAGAGAAGUUAAUUCGCAAAAUGUUGGAGCAAGGUGUAAUAAAACCAAGCCACAACCCUUUUUCUUCCCCGGUGUUACUAGUGAAAAAAAAGGAUGGCACCUAUCGUUUUUGUGUGGACUAUCGUGCCUUGAAUACAGUUACUAUCAAGGAUAAAUUUCUUAUUCCAACAAUUUAUGAACUACUGGAUGAAUUAGGUGGAGCAACCAUUUUCAGCAAAUUAGACUUGAGGGCUAGUUAUCACCAAAUUCGAGUGCACAACAGAGACACAUACUAGAUAGCUUUUCGAACUCAUAAAGGGCACUACGAGUUUCUUGUGAUGCCUUUCGGCUUGACGAAUGCUCCAUCUACAUUUCAAGCUACCAUGAAUCAAAUUUUUGCUGCUUUCUUACGUAAAUUUGUCAUUGUUUUUUUUAUGAUAUAUUGGUGUAUAGUUCAUUUUUGGCUGAUCAUGUCUCUCACUUAGAGCAGGUUUUAAGUUGCUUACAUAGUCAUUGUUUCUUCAUCAAACUUUCCAAAUGCCUUUUCUGCCAAGAAACAGUUGAGUAUUUGGGUCAUUUGGCUUCUGCUGGAGUUGUUCGUGCGGAUCCACAGAAAAUUACAGCCAUGGUCAACUGGCCACCACCAACGUCCUUGAAACAAUUGCAAGGGUUUCUUGGCCUCACGGCCUAUUUCAAGUGUUUUAUUAAAUGAUAUGCUUCUAUUGCUACACCCCUCACUGACUUAUUGUGCAGAGAUGCUUUCAAUUGGACUCCAACAGCAACCAUCACAUUUGAGGCCCUCAAACAAGCUAUGGUGGAAGUCCCGAUACUGUGAUUACCAAACUUCGAGUUGGAUUUCAUCAUCGAGACUAACGCAUCAAAUGUCGGUAUUGGUGUAGCGUUUAUGCAAGACAACCACCCAAUUUCUUACUUUAGUAAAAAGUUGGGACCAAAACUUCAAGUGGCAUCAACAUAUAUCAAGGAGUUACAUGCCACUACCGAGGCUAUCCACAAGUGGUGACAAUAUCUUCUUGGUCAUUUUUCAUUAUUCGUACCCAUCAUAAAAAUAUCAAAGAACUUCUGCAACAAGUUAUCCAAACACCUAACCAGCAGGUGUAUAUCUGAAAAUUGGUUGGUUAUCACUUUAAGAUUGAAUACAAGCCUGGUCGAGCAAACCAGGUAGCUGAUGCUUUGUCUCGCGUGCAUGAAAAUGAGCCUGUGGAGGCACCUGAGAGAUACUCUGCCUAUUUACCAUUGGUUUCCAGUCCAACUUUUGACUUGUUAGAAACUCUACGCUUGGAUAAUACCACUUGUCCAGACUUGGUACUCCUUCAUAAGCAUUUUGCCGCAGGUGAGCUCUCCCCUGAUUUUUCUGUUUAUGAUGGAUUACUUUUCUUCUGCCAUCGCUAUUAUGUUAGCUCUCAAUCCUCCUUGAAGUCAAUCUUGCUCCACGAAUUUCAUGCUACCCCAUGGGCUAGAUAUGCUGGUAUAAAAUGAACCUUGGUUCGCUUAGCUUCGGUAUUUUAUUGGUAUAAGAUGAGAACUGAUGUUGAAAAAUUUAUAGAUGCUUGCCUAACCUGCCAACAAAUCAAGCAAUCAACUCAAGCCCCAGCAGGAUUGUUACAGCCACUACCUAUUCAAUCAUUAGUAUGGGAUGAGGUCAUUAUAGAUUUCAUUACGGGCUUGCCACUAUCAUGAGGGCUCACUACUAUCCUUGUCGUUGUAGACCGUCUGACUAAAUCAACACAUUUUGGAGCUCUACCUUCUCAAUUUUCAGCUAUGACGGCAGCGGACUUAUUUGCUAACAUGGUCGUUAAACUCCAUGGUUUUCCUAGUUCCACAUUGUCGAAUCGCGAUCCAAUUUUUAUGAGCAAUUUUUGGAAGAAGCUUUUUGAACUAAGUGGCAUUUCCCUAAGGCAUAGCAGAGCCUAUCAUCCGCAGACUGAUGGGCAAUUCGAAGUUGUGAACCACGGGCUUGAACAAUAUUUACGAGCUUUCACUCAAGAAAAACCACAAUCGUGGGCCUCUCUACUCUACUGGGCAAAGUUCAGUUACAACUCCGGCUAUCACAGUGGUCUCAAGAUGACACCAUUCCAGGCAUUGUAUGGGCGUAUUCCACCUACUAUCCUAACUUACUCUAAGGGCUCUACUUCAAUCCAAGCUCUCAAUGAUGCGCUGACGGAGCGAGAUGCUCUCUUGCGCCAAGCUCAGCAUCGAAUGACACAAAAGGCUAAUGCCCAUCGGCGUGAACUCCAACUCAAUAUAGGAGAUCGCGUGUUUGUCCGCCUUCAACCAUACCGACAGACAUCGUUAGCUCAACGAGCAUCCCAGAAGUUAGUGAAGAGGUAUUAUGGGCCAUUUACAGUAUUGGAACGUAUAGGGCCAGUGGCAUACAAGCUGAACCUUCUGUUAGAUUGCAAAAUUCAUUAUGUCUUCUAUAUUUCAAUGCUCAAACCCUUCAGCGGUUCCGGCCUUAUCAAUGGAUUACCCUUACGUCGUGAUAGCAACAGCAAUCGACCACUUUUAUACCCAGCUACUAUUUGUGCCACACGGACAGUCUUACAUCAUGGGAAAGAAGUUCAACAUGUUCUGGUGUAGUGGUCGGAUAGCGCUCCAGAAAAUGCCACCUAGGAAGGUUUCUUUGAGUUUUCGCACCUCUAUCCUGAUUUCACCUUGAGGAAAAGGUGAUUUUUCAAGCCUCAGGGAAUGAUAUAGCAUUGCCAAUCUCUUUGGAGUGGCCUAAUGCAUCUCUUGUGGAAUCCUUUAAAGAACGGGCUGACUCACACCAGGAGAAAGAUACAACUAGGCCCAACACAGAACCUGUUGCAGGCCCAUCGCGAAUGAGAAAACCACCUAGCUGGCUGAAGGAUUAUGUUGUUUGAGAAGCAGGAAGUUCUGGAUUCCUUUCUAGAAUCUUUUAUUCGUUUGAUAUUUUCUUUUGGCCUGACAAUUGCUAUUUUUUGUAACCACCUUCUGUUAGAGGUUGUUGGAGGUGAAGCAUAUAAGCAUUGUAAGGUUUAAAAGGCAAAGGAAUGAAAAUACUCUGUUCUCUUUCUUCUCUGGAAUUUCCUUUCUUCUUAACCUCUGUUCUGCUCUUAAUUCUUUUUUAUUUGGAGCUGGUACUUGCUCGAAGAGUGUUUUGUUGAGUUGAUUUGCUUGUGUUGCAGGACAAGCGUAUCAGUACCGUUUGUGUCACGUUCUCUUAAUAGAAAAAUAUAACCCAAAAGUUCUUGAUUUUGAUAGUUUGUUCUUUGUAUUAGAACGUACGACGUGUUUCAUGAGAAAAAAUAAUAAAAAUUUGCUCUUACUUUUCUUACAAUCUAACAAGGUGCUUGAUCAUUUUGGUUAUCAAUUGAUGUUUAUCUAUUGAAUGCGGUUAUCAAUGAGUUAAAUGAAUAUAAUUAAAGGUAUGAUAGAUAUUUUUAUAUAUAAAAAAUAUGCCAUUAUUUAAUGUGACCUAUGUCGCAGUUAAAAGUAGUCAGCAAAAGAACCCCUUCUAAUGUAAAGGAUCAAAUAUGAAGGCACGAUUAGUGAUUAACUGGAAUAUCUAAGUUAAACAGCACUUCUUAUUGCAUCCAGUCAUUUUGUGGGAAAGGGAAAUUGAAUCAGAUACACUAAAUUGCUUCUUUAGUCAUCAUAUCUGGUACUGGAAGUCUAGCUAAUAACUUUUGCUGAAGUUGUAUUUGAGAAAGAAUUAUUUUUGACUGUUGGUUCCUCAACUUGUCUCCCAAGAAAUCCAAUGCAAAUGACUGCAGGAUCUCAGAUCACGACAGAAUUGUGAAUCUUAAGCCAUUUUUCUGCAUUAGGGAAAAAAAUAUAUAAUAACAAUUACGGUGAAAAGAAUGCAAACCUUUACAUUGCUCAGGGUCAGUUCACCAUUCAAUACAUACUUCUUGUGUUUGCGAAUGCUAGCGACAGCAAUAAACUACAAGUAAAUUUGUAUAGUAACCAUUUUUUCAUAUUGAUGUAUAAGACAAAAGCUACUCCGCAAUCAUAAAGAUUUCACAGAAUCAAGGUAAAGUAGGAAACUCUCUCUUGAAGUAUGACCUGUCACACCGAAAUAGUCAGAAAUUUGUCCCUUAAGUUUCGGGUACAUUUGCGAAUACACAAAGAGAAGCUGGCAAACAGUGAUCAAGAUAAUAUAAAAUCAUAAUGAUAAAAUUAUGUUGACAGACAAUUAAUUUAAAUGGCUUUCAGUUAUCAAGUUUCAACAAUUUUUGCUUGAGCUCGCUACAUAGAUUAAUCUACCAAAUACAAGUCUUUGCAUUUACCUUGCCUUUGAAAGCUCUAGCUGUCUCUUGAAAUAUUGAUUUAGCCUCAGAAUCAUGCACAGUCGCAAAAAGCCAUAACUGAGAACAAAUUCAGGAACAUGUUCAAACCAUAAAUCUCUCACAUUUUCCCGAGGAAAAGAUGUAAAAUUGAUAAUUACCAAUUUCAAGGGGGAAUUUAAAAUCAAUGGAGUAGUUUCCCUGGAGUAAGUAAUCAUCGGAGGAAUCUUAUUUGAUGAUAUGAAAUCAUCAAUUACUGAUAUAGUAAAAGAACCAUCUGAGAAAAUGAAGCAAAAAACGGACAGGGCAUGUAUAAAUCUUCCAUUUGAAGCACUCAAAAUCAUCGCAGAGAUUAUUUGUUUUACAAACCAAAGUGGCUAAGCUGUUUAGACUCCUUUUCCAGCAAGACUAGAGCAGGGCGUUUGAUUUCUGGGUCAAUCAGAAACAUCUUUGCAACAUCAGCUCUAGUAGUUUGGAAGAAUAAAACAUCAGGAUGCGGUUUUGAUGCAGCCGCAAGCACUUCACCUUCCAGACCCUAAAAUUUUUUGUCAUAGCAGUAACAGAUGUUAAGGGAAACACUAAGGCAAUUGCUCAAAUCAAAUGAGUAAGUAUGGACCUUUAAAGAGUUAAGGAAUCCCAAAGCAAUUGUAGAUUGAGCUGUCAAUAACUGCUCUGCAUUCUAUAUUGUCAUCACAGUGUAAAGAUCACCGGCCAUCUUCGUCUUUAUAUAAUUCACAAUAGCAUCCCUUCAAAAUAAAAAGGAUCUCGUUAUUAACAAAUGCACAAGCAUAUAAUAGACUUGCCCCUUUUAACUUUUCCCACUUCUCAACAACUAUAACAGAUUUAAAAGGGCCAUAUUGAACAAAAAGAUCCAACAAAAGAAAACACAUGUUCCAAAAAAACUCACUUCUUCCUGUUAUGGUAGUAAGUAUCCACAUGUACUCCAUUAACAAAGAAAUAAAUGGUUGGAUAUCCUUGAAUUCCCCAUCUUUUUGCCAACUCGAUCUCGUUGAUAUCAUUAACUUUUGCUAGCACCGCUUUGCCCUUCAGCUCAGUGGCAGCGGCUUCAUAUUCUGGAGCCAGUUUCUUGCUCCAGAAGCACCAUGGUGCGUAAAAAGCCACCAUCACAUGCUGAUUCUUGGCUAGAAUAUCACUAAAAUUCUUGUCACUUAAAUUCACGGCAUCUUCUUUUUCAUCACUAGCCGGAGGCAAGUUGUACUUUCGAUCAUUGAAACUUUCAUAAGAAUCUAAUGAUGCAACGGUGUCUCUAGAAGAGAUUGGAGGAAAUUUCUUGAAUACAGAAACACAUAAUACAUAGCCUCCAUCAUAAUCUAUUUUGUAAACACAGAAAGGCGAAAGCCGAAACACAAUGAACAAAAGAAAAAUCGUAGUGGAGAGCGCAAGGAGAUGAGCUUUAGUUGACAUUGUUGAGCAGCCGCCCUUGAGUAGGUGCUCUGCAAUUUGUACUUGACGUCUUCAAAAUAGUUGUUUUAUAGCAGUGAUCCUAUCCGCAAUGCAAAUUUUACUCUGAAUUGCUGGCCAAUGACAAGAUAAUUAUAAUUAAAUGCCUCCUUUUUUGUAUGCAUUUUCACAGAGCAGACGACAAGCUAAUAAAUAAUAAAAUGUAUUUUGAUUUCUAUUCAGAAAUUACACUAUUAACAUCCAGUUGACAGAAAGAAACCCUCUAUCCACCACUAGCUUUAUAAAGCACAAUCGACAAUGACAAGAUCCAAAUCUCUAGCAGAUGAAACCAAAGUUCCUGGGAACAUCACUAUGCAACAGGAUUACACUGAAUCUUGAAAGCAACGAAUUGAAUGGAAUAUUCUUUUGCAGCCAUAUAAACACGCUUCCUAUAUGGCGUUAAUUUGUAUUCUCAACGCCUUACCAUAAUGUGACAUGCUUGGUCAUCUCUCUUUAUAAUCUUUGAAAAGUGUCUGCUUGAACUUUGUAUUAUAAACCUGUUGUAUGUGAAUGGAUUACCAACAUUUGUUCAUAAACUUAAUGAAUUUCUCCAAUUAGUUCUUUCUGGAUCAACUUCAGUAUCUCUGAGACCUACAGAGUUGCACAAAUUUACCGCCAAUUAGAACAACAAUGUUGAAGACAUAUGUAUUACAAGUAUCACAUAUACAAGCAUAUAAUGUGACAUGAUAGAGUUGUAGUUGCAUCACAAACCAAGAUAUAUUAUGAAAGAAUUUUGAGAAAAUACAUCAUUGCUCAUCUCAAAAUGCUGUUGCAAUACAGGUGAAUGUUGAUGCAGUGUUGUGUAUAUCUUAUCAAGUAAGCCUAUGAGCGCAUCCACUUGAUCGCCCAGCAGAUCCACCUGGAAUCCAAGCAGCGUAACGAAUCUUAAGAAAAUUUGCUUGAAAUGCUCUUAAAAUGUAUAUUCAUCAAACCCAAGUUAAAUUCAGUUUGUUUAUCCUAAAAAAAAAUUAAAUUAAAUUAAAUUAAAAAUAAAAAAAACACUAAGGUGAAUAAAACUGAAAUUGCAGCUCAAAACCUCAGUUUCAGCCAUUUGGAGAUUCUUUCUUCUUCUGAUAAAUGCUGUUCUGUAGAGUAAUUCCCGUUUUUGUAUUGAGGAAACAAGCUCAACAAGCAAAUCUAAUCGAUGCUUCAUCUCUUCCAACCUGUACAAAAGUAGCGCAACAUUAUGCUUAGUAAAGGUCAAUCACUUGUUUAAACAAUUAAUUUUGAUGGAACAUGAAUGUCGUAACACAAAUGGCCAUAGUCAAUGUUCACAGUUAGAAUAAAUUAAAGGGGAACUGUAUAUAAAUGUAAACUGAAGUACCUCAAAACUUUGUCUGCUAAUUUUUCUUGUGCUUGGAGCUCAAAAUUUCCAAAUACGUGUGAAAACUCCAGUAUAGGUGUAAACAUGUGUUAGUGAAGCUGCUUAAUAUGAAGAACAGAGGAUUCGAGUGCAGCUUAUUUAGCUAUGCUUGACUGCAGCAGAUUCACUUACUCAGCUGAUGUGGCAUGGUGACGUGGCCUAGUUAGUUAUUCUAAACAAGCAUUCUUCAUAUGUGUAUAACAGAUCACUAACAAAGUGUAACAAGCCACUCUCGUGCAAUAUAUAUAUAAGUGUAAUCUGUUCAGAUAAAAUCAAUAAAAUAGAUUCUAAAGUUUUCUUUAUGUUGCAUUCUUUCAUUUUCUUUAGCUUUCUCACUUGCCAAACAUAAAUACUUAAAGUUCUUUCAACAUGGAAUCCAAUUGGUUUCUAGGAAUCUCUUCAUUUUGUUAUUGGAAAGUUAUGGAAUUUUUGUCAUGCACAUUAUCUGCAGGAAUCAUUUGAUCAUCAACUCUUUCUUGAUCAUAGUCCGCUGUGCCUAAACUAGAUUCCAACUCACUCAUUUUUGUCUUACUUGUAGCUAACCGAUCUAGAGCUUUCUCAAGUUCGCUUCUCACCGAAGUAAAAGUGGACUCAUCCUCAUUCAUCAGUUCUUGAAAGAUCUCAUGCUCGUUCAGCUUUUCAGUUUCCAUUUCCACCCAGUCAAAUUGUUUCUUCUGUUCAUUUACUUCAGAACUUGCACUUACCAUUAGAUCUCCAUCUUCUUCCAAACACUUCAAUAACAUAUCUAGUUUUUUGAUAAAACUCUCCUCUCCAUUUCCCUCAAAACUUCCGUCUCUAUUUUUGGAGGAACUUUUGUCUUGCUUCCGGCCUUCUUCUUGGCAAGCAUCUUUCAUCGCCUCACGAAAAACAAAUUCCUGUAUCUCCUGUCUAAAGAGAUAAUGUUGCAAGCAUCUAUCUCUUUCUUCCACUCAUCAAUAGUUUCCCCGAAUAAAACCAUAUACACAUUCUCCUUCACAAAAUAUUCCACUAUUUUAAGUGACUUGUCAGGAACCUCAACCUCUUGGAGUUUUGUAAAUGUGUAGUUCGCAGUAUUCACAACAUCUCUGAUGGUCUCAUCAAAGACAGCACGAGAAACCUCUUCUGUUACAAGCCUGUCAAUUCUAUAGUUUCCAAUUUUCUCAUUCCAAUCCUUGCAAUGUACAAAUUCUCCUUAAAGUCGUGAACAAAACCAUUAAUCAAUGUACAAAUUGCAUCCUUCUCAAUAGUCCACCUCCAUUGCUGUUCCUGAGGCCCCAGCUCAGACAAAAAAAUAGCAUUCUGCAUUUUCUCAAAAGCGUGAUGCAAAGUCUCUUUCAAAAUAUUAAUAUCAGAACCCAUCUGCUCAAUCUUUUUGUGAUCAAUACCGCCAUUCCUUUCCUCAUCAAUAACUUCAUGCUCGAUAUGCAAGACUUGUUGAUCAACUGAAUGCAUCAACUCAGAAAUUUCACUAUCUCUAUCCUCAUCCCGACUUCCAGGACUGCUCAUACUGAGCUCAGCGACACCAUCACUCUUUGUUCUUUCAAGCUCCAGGUUAGCAUUUUGCAAAGCAACCAAUUCUUUUUCCUUCGCAUCCAAUGCUUGCCUAAGCUUCAACUCAUUUUCGAACCUCUCCGUCAAUUCCUUAUCCUUUUCGCGGAGAACCAUUUCUGAAUCCUGAAGGCGACCCUGGAAACGGUCUUUAAUUUCUUCCAAGUCUGCCAGGACUUUUUCAUGCCAGAUUUCAAACAUGUUGUUGUCUGCAUCCUCCUGGACAAAUUUCAUGCACCCUUCUAGCUGAAUUACUGCAAGUUCAUAGAAUUUCGAUAUCUCAUUCAAGCGCUGAAUGACGCCAUCUUUGGACUUCACUUUGCCGUGUGCUCCGUCCAUUGCGUAGUGCACAAUCCACAUCAUUGUUGCAUCUGUUAAAAAAAUUCUUAGUGUGCUUUUUAGCAAUCCAAAAAGACCAUCCAUUUUUUUUUUCAUUUUGUUUGGUUCAUCUAUAGAAAAUGAAGCAAUAGAAAUGUGAAUGAGAUCUUCAGUUUUUAUGUUUCCUUGAAAAUUGGAGAUCUAAUUGACUUAUUCUAACUUGUUAUUUGUUACACAUAUGUUGAAAAUGUGACUAGAAUUAUUCCUAUAUUUCAUUUAAAUACUAAUGUAUAUUACCAUAUAUUCAAAGUUAAUAAGGAAUUGAUAAUUUUAGGGAACUCACGUUAGUUUUUUAUCUUUUUUUAAUAGAAUUUUUAUCAUUAAAUCAAUAGAAUUUGUUGUAAAUUUAAAGGUUAUGAGACCUUUAUUACUUGAAAUGAUUGGUUUGUCUUUCGUUUCCUUCGAGAGCUCGAAAAGUUCUAAACGUUCAACGCUCAAGUCAAUAUAGACGGUUAGGAUGUCCUCCUCAAUUAAUUUGAGAGAAAAAUUGCUGAUAAUAUGUAUGGUUUGAUGAAGGAGCAAAGGAACAUUAAAAAGGUGUAAUUAACAAUGCCACCAAAGGUGCCCAACAUUAAUUUAUUAGUUGUUUCAAAUGAAGCAUCCACUUGGCAUACUAUAAUUGGUUAUUUCCUACAGCAGCCGCUACAGAUCUCAUUAAGCGCCAGAAUCUAACUCAGCGGCAGGGCGCGAACCAUCACUGCCCUUGGCAGCGCGUGAGGCUCUUGCUCUCUCAGCCACUCCACCACCUCUCCAGAAACCAACUCAACGUUCUGCUCAGGCUCGCCAAUCAGCUGAUGCCACGUGCCUGGAUAAAUCCUCAGCGUCUUAUCCUUACUGGCUGCAUGUUUAUACAACUCUUCAACGCAGGCGGGAUCGCAAACGACGUCGUCUUCCUCUUGGGGCUCAUUGAGUAUUUUUUAUACUCAAAUCCCUUGCAAAUCCCUCGACACGCGCAGCAACUCCAGUACGGUCGCCGCACGCGGCCUUGGCACCGACCUCCUGGGGCUCGACAACGCCAGCUUCCUCUUCCACUCCUCCUUGAAGGAGACCAUCGGGAGAGAACCGUGGGUGGGAUCCACGCGCCAGGAAGGCACCAGCCAUACGACUGUGAAGAGAAGGUGCUCGAAGGGCCACGGAGGCUUGAAUUUCUGGCUAAUCCCGCACAUGGCCCCAUCCAAAAACAAUCCAUCCCACGCGCCCUUCUGACGGAGCGUGAUUAAAGAGCUAUGGCCCCACCCAAGGGCUCGGAAUACAAAAACGCGGGCAAAUACGGUGCGUGUCUCAGAAUGACAUAUCACAUGUUAUAUUAAUUAUUUGAGUUGAAAUUUUAAAUAAAUAAAUUUAGUAUGCUUGCUUUUGCAUAAAACCUUCUUUUUUUUAAGGGUUAUUUUGGAUUUAAUAAUUUAAUUUACAAAUAUAUUUUUGUUUUAUCAAUAAUAACAUUUAAUUUGCAACUGCUGGGGAUCUCUACUCCCUAAUAUUGGCUCGAGGAGACCUUGGCAACAACCAUUGCAACGAAUAUAUGACAAGUUUUAUCGCAAACAAUUACUUGCUAAUUGUUUUCUUCCCACUUGAUGUACAAUACAUAUCAUAUUAUAUUAAUUUUAAAGCUAUAUACUGAUAAUUCUAACAUAAUCAAAUGCAUAUAGGAGCAAUUAAUUGACAAUCAUCACACCAAUUAGAAAAGUUAAACUUGUGUAAGGAAUUUGCUGAGUAUCAGUAACAUAGUAGAAAUAUGGCAAAGUUAUGGUGAGACAUCUGUGACAAAAAAUAAGUCAAUAUUCAAUUAUUAAAUAUAAAUUAUCAUUAUAUUUUAUUUUUUUGAGGAAAUCAUUAUAUUUGGUAUUGAGGUGUUGUGAUAAAAAAAAUGAUAAAGUAUGGUAAUAUGUAAUAAUUUUAAAAGUUAUUAUGACUUUUUAUUGUAUAAAUAAAAUAAACUUAAUUUUUAGAUUAUAGCAGCACGUAUUUAUUAAGCACAUUAGUGUUGGAAUUUAAAAGCUAUACUUUCCAAAAAUAAUUAAGCAGAGCGAAUACCUAAAACAAGUCUAACAUAAUUUUUUUUAUUUCUAGAAAAUAAAAAAUGCAUGUGAUAUUUAAUUUGUGAGGAUUUGAAUUUACAGAAGCAGAGGAAACAAAAGAAUUUUAAAAAAGCGAAUUGCUUUAUGAAAUAAUUUUUCUGCAUCCUUUAUUCAAACAGCUUGAGGCUUUUUAUAAGAGCCAAUUGGAAACACGCAAUCUACGCUAGUAACUGCCCGUGGAACAACAAAAGACACCCUAGACAAUAACACAUGAAAUACGAGAAAUAAUAGGAAAUAUGGGUAAUAAUAUUGCACACAUAGUUGAUAGACCACGUGUCAAGCACCCAUUUAUUUCAAAGCACUUAUUAUUAAGUCCUAGACUCCUCCUCUCAAGCAUGGCUAUCAGGUACGUGGGAAGUUUGUCAAAUGCAUGGGUUCUUGCUCGUCUUUGGGAGACAUAUCAGCAUGCUUGGAAAGAGAUACACGCAAGACAAUCAACACAAGAUUUGCUUUAUUUCUAGGAUGCAUCGGCAUGCACUCUACUUAUAGAACUCCAUAACCCAGAGAUUACCAAUAGCAAGUUCACAACUGAUCCCACCAAACCCAGCGCUAGUAGCCAGGGUCAUGAAUUCAUGCCUUGUUCUCUCCUUUCCACCGGGACUUUGAAUCAUCAUAAGCACGUCAAAAUGGGAAUUUGAUUUUGAUUCAAUGCUUGUAUUAGGAACUUCUGGAAGCAUUGACUCCACAACGAUUACCUUUCCAUCUUCUGGGAUGCUUUUGUAGCAAUUCUUCAACAACUUCAAGCAAUGUUCAUCAUUCCAAUCGUGCAGUAUCCACUAUAUAAAUUCUCAUAUUAAUCAAACUAUUGUUUGUAAAAAUUUAAUUUAAGGAACUCCUCAUAAUAUGUCCGCAAAUUAAAUUAAAAACUUACCUUCAUAAUAAUGGCAUCACCUUUUGGAACACUUUGGAACAUAUCACCCCCUACAUGCUCAAUACCUGUAAAAUAUUAUACAAUUAAGAAAUCAGACAAUUAGAAUUAUGCCACUCUAUUUUCAUUAGCAAGAUGUAUUACGUCAAGAACUGUUUGCUCAAACUUAAUUAUGCCAAUGUUAUGGAAGUUCCUGAUAUACAGGCACACACAACAGAAGAAUUAUACACACACAUAUAUGAGAGCAGGUUCAAGGGAUUUUUUUUAAUACAAUUUUACAUAUAAAUUUUUAACAAUUAGGUUAAAGUUUAUCACAUGGUUAAUAUUAAAACUGCAUGCAGUUUUAUAAUUCUAAAAAUUAAUCAACUAGACGCAAGUCCUUACGUCAAACAAUAAACGUGAAGCACGACGCUCUUUCCUCUCUCUUAUCAUCUAAAUUUAUUUAAACUAAGUAAUUUCAUUCAAAGAUUGAAAUUACACUUCAUUUCGGAGGAAGAUCUUCCAAUCAAAUUACAGGCAACUUAAAAUUAAAAGCUGCCUUAGCUAACACGAGUAUGCGUGUUGCAGGCUCUUCGGAUGAACUGAAUUCUAAAUUAGCAUUGUCCUUAAUUUCCUCUUGAAUGUCCAACAACACUUAAAAGAUUUCCUUUGCUUGACAUCAUGUUUAGGACAUUCAUAUAUUUCUCUUUUUAACUUAUGUGCUCAUCUCCUUCAAUCCUCCCUCUACUCAUUAUAAAACAUUUUUUUUUCCGAUGGCUGUUGGAUGGAUGUUACUACUACAAAUUAAAAUAUAGUACUUCCCUAGUUCUCUGUAUGUUUACUUUAGUUAUCCAGUAAAUCGAAACGUGAUUAGAUGACUAUGCUUUGUUAAUCUUUAAAAAAAUAUAUGUAGAAACGAUUGCCAACAUUUUUUUUUCCAAUAUUUACAUUUGGUUUAAUAAACAAAUUUAUGUAGAUAACAUCUUUUUUUAUGGCUACAUGGAUGUGUACCUUAGUUCACUGGUAAUUUAGAGGGAGAAAUAAAGGGUAAUACAAAGGUGAGAGAAAAGUAUUUUACUUUUACUAUUAAAUUUAAUAAUAUGACACCUACGCGAAUUAAUUAGUUUUUUAAAAUAACAAAAUUACACGUGAGCUUUAAUAUUAAUCCUUGGAUGAACUCUAUUAGAAAGAAAUUUGUUUCUAAAAGUAUCUUUUUUAAACUUGCCCCCAAAAUAAGGAAUAUUCUAAAAAAAUAAAAAAGAAAACAAACAUUUUGAGUAUUAUCCUUAGUUUAUCCUUUAUUUUAAUAAAGGAAGGAACCCUUAUAUAUAUAUAUAUAGUAAUGAUCUAAUCCAAAAUUUUGGGUUUUGUUAAAAACCGAAAAAAAUCAUAAUUUCAAAUGGUUCAAUAGUCCAUUAUACUAUUAAAUCAUAUGACUUACUAGAUUUUUCGGAAUUUAACAAAAUUUGUGUAGCGAGAGAGAGAGACAUUCGAAAUCCUGUUAGCUUCAAAUUUCCUUUUAUUUGUUUGUUUCCCCUUGAUACAAUUAACAAAUAUGUCAAAACCUGUGAAAUCUAAGGGCCUGAGAAUUUCAUUUGACAUAAGUCUCUUUAUUCUCUAUAUGGAGAUAUGACUAAAUCUCUUGUACUAUAAUGCAACUGAAUUCUCAUUUGUUAAUUUUCUCUUUACACCUUGUGUACUUAAUUGCAAAUAUUCAUUAAAUGAAGCAAUUGUAUCAAGCAUAUAAAGAUUAUCAUCACCUGACAAAGAACCAGAACUAACCAAUUUUGAAUUAUGAAACAAACUAAAUUUUCCAUUCCCAAAUGAACAAAAAAAACCAAAUUUGUCCAAACCAGAAAUAGAAAUCAAAUUCCGUCUAAAAGAUGGAACAAAAAAUGUUUCAUCAAGAUUCAAAUAAAAUCCAAUUUUAACAAUAAUCUAAAUUCCAAUGCUNNNNNNNNNNNNNNNNNNNNNNNNNNNNNNNNNNNNNNNNNNNNNNNNNNNNNNNNNNNNNNNNNNNNNNNNNNNNNNNNNNNNNNNNNNNNNNNNNNNNNNNNNNNNNNNNNNNNNNNNNNNNNNNNNNNNNNNNNNNNNNNNNNNNNNNNNNNNNNNNNNNNNNNNNNNNNNNNNNNNNNNNNNNNNNNNNNNNNNNNNNNNNNNNNNNNNNNNNNNNNNNNNNNNNNNNNNNNNNNNNNNNNNNNNNNNNNNNNNNNNNNNNNNNNNNNNNNNNNNNNNNNNNNNNNNNNNNNNNNNNNNNNNNNNNNNNNNNNNNNNNNNNNNNNNNNNNNNNNNNNNNNNNNNNNNNNNNNNNNNNNNNNNNNNNNNNNNNNNNNNNNNNNNNNNNNNNNNNNNNNNNNNNNNNNNNNNNNNNNNNNNNNNNNNNNNNNNNNNNNNNNNNNNNNNNNNNNNNNNNNNNNNNNNNNNNNNNNNNNNNNNNNNNNNNNNNNNNNNNNNNNNNNNNNNNNNNNNNNNNNNNNNNNNNNNNNNNNNNNNNNNNNNNNNNNNNNNNNNNNNNNNNNNNNNNNNNNNNNNNNNNNNNNNNNNNNNNNNNNNNNNNNNNNNNNNNNNNNNNNNNNNNNNNNNNNNNNNNNNNNNNNNNNNNNNNNNNNNNNNNNNNNNNNNNNNNNNNNNNNNNNNNNNNNNNNNNNNNNNNNNNNNNNNNNNNNNNNNNNNNNNNNNNNNNNNNNNNNNNNNNNNNNNNNNNNNNNNNNNNNNNNNNNNNNNAACUGUCUUGCAAUCGCCAACAUAGAUAUAUCUUUCACCAUCACUGGGUUUUCGGCAACUCAGGCAACCCUGCAUAGAUAUAGUGAUGUGAGUGGUUGCACUAGAAUUUAUUCACCACGUGUGUCUAGAUACCAAAGUUAAAUUAACCUCAGAACAAACCAAACUAAAAAGCAUACCUUUCUUAGCACUCCAUGUGUGAUAAUUAGUGUAAUGCUUCUUCUUAUGCCCUUUAGCCCCAUAGAAGAAACAACCAGUACCUUCAUGAUCAUUUGGUUUCUUUUGUUAUUUCUUUUGAGGUGUUGUAUUUGCACAUUCCUUAUUUUUCUUCAUUUUCUUGCCCUUAGAGAUAGAGUCUAGGUGAGCACUUUUUGCCUUAUCUUUUUUCAACAUAUCCUUUUCCUAAACACAAUGUGAUAUGAGCUCAUUCAGAGACCAAGUCUCUUUCUGACAAUUAUAGCUCACCUUAAAUUAGUUAAACUGUGUUGGUAAGGAUAUUAAAAAAAAUGCACUAGUAAGUCCUCAGAGAGCUUAAGUUUAAGUGCUCUUAACUUAGAAUCAAGAUGAGACAUCUCCAUAAUGCACUCGUUGAUAUUGCCUUUACUCGUAUACCUCAUUGAAAUUAGGCUUGUCAAGAGCGUACCAAUUUCAGCCUUUUUGUUCUUGACAAACAUUUGUUCAAUUUAUGCAAGAAACUCUUUAGCAGUAGUUACUUUUUCAAUCAUUAAGCCCCUGAAUGCUUCUAGAAUGGUCUUCUACUUAUCAUGACACACAUGCGAUUUGAUCUCUCUCACCUUUCCAUUUAAUUUCCCUUUUAUCACCAGGGGUACUCUCACCCGUAAGAGGUGCGAAGAAUCAACCCUUAACGCAAGGUCAAGAUCCAUGACUACAAGAACUAUUGAGAGGUUCUUGUGCCAUGAUUUGAAGUUAGAGCCAUUUAACAUAGGAAUAUAAUUCAUGUUGGCGGUAAUAUUAGUAGCAAACAUAAUUGAACAAAAAAUAACAAACAAACAAAACAAGCUCAUAUUAGUCUUAAAACAAAAAUAAAUUCAAAUAAAGAUAAUCCCCAUCUUAAGAUACUGGACACUCCAUUAAUAUUCAACUUGUAAUUGAUAUCUUGGUGUAGUAAUCAAACAUUGAUAAUAAGAACAUGUCAAACAAUUAAUAUUCCUUUGGCCGAUUUAUUGCUCACAUGCAAAACCGAAUAAUCAUCACAUGUUUAUUACCAUAGGUGCACAUGUAAUUCUAUUAAAUAUGGACAUUCCUUAGAGCCGAUCGAUAUUUACAGAAAUUACAUAUACAAAAGCGUUUAUAUUCUAAAAUAAAUUAAUUCUUAUAAGAGACCUCACUUUGGCGACAUGCUGCUUCAAUUAAUUUAUCUCAAAAUAUAUAUAAACCUACCAAUAUUUAAAUUUAAAAUUGCACAAAAAUUACCUCAAAAAUUAAAAAAAUUCAGGUCAAAGUCAAAGUUUGACCAGUCAACUAUCAAAUGUUGAUCGGUUUAUACUGCUGAUCACUUUGAAUUGGACUCGUUCAGGUUAGACCGAAUCGGACCAAACCAGUCCUAAAUCAGAAACCCUAAUUCAUUUUCCCUUCUUCUUCUUUGGUCGCCUUCCCACCUUAACCUACAGGCUGCGACUUAGUCGUCGCGACCUCUCCUUCCCGUCGCUAAGGGUGUUCGUGGAUCAGAUUUUGUGGAUUAGACAUCAAUCUAUAUCUGAUUCACGAUUUUACGGAUUAUAAAUUUUUAAUCCAAUCCAAUCCACGGAUUAGUGAAAUUCAAUCCAAAUCAAUCCAUACGUCUGCGGAUCGGAUGCAAAUUUGACCCAAUCCAUAUCCAAUCCAUCAUUUUACGGAUUGGUUUACGGGCUAAAAAAUUUUACUCAUGUCCUAUCCACGAACUAACUAAAUAAAAAAAUUAAUAUAAAAAUAAUUUUACUAUCGAUAAAAUUCAAAAUUAAAUAAAAUUUAAAUUAAUUAAUUUUUUAAAUAAAGGUAAAAAAUACAUUCAAAGUUUCAAACUAUAACACACCAAAAAAAAAAUCUCAUUUGUUUAGAUCAGUACAUGAAAAUUAAUUGCUAAGGAAGAUAUAUUUUUUAUUUAAUUAUUUUUAUUUUAUAUUAUUAUCAGAUAAGACAUAAUAUGGUGUUAAUAUAACUAUAUUUUAACUUAUUUAUUUAGUAGUAAGAAUAAUGUUAUAUUUACAAGUUUAUUUUUUUGCGGAUUUGUGGAUUUUUGCGGAUCCACAGUAGUAAAUCUAUAUCCAAUCCACUGACUGCGGAUUUUCAAAUUUUCAAUCCAAUUCAAUCCACCAAUCCACGGAUCAAAAUUUUACGGAUUAGAUUUCUGCGGAUCAGACGGAUUGAGCGGAUCGAAUUGGAUUUUGAACUCCCCUACCCGUCGCAGCCUGAAGCCGUGACACAGCCGCCAGCUAAAACCUUGAAACAUUUUUUUUCCUUCAAUUCCCUUUCCCUUUAUACCACGACUAGGGGUGGGCAAACGGUUCGAUUUUAUGAGCAAAAUCAGAAUGGUUUUAAAAUCAAGGAACCGAUUGGUUAAACCGAACAGAACCAAAAAACCAAUCGGUUCCUUGAUUUAAUUAUAAAUAAUUUUUUAAUUGAAAAAUAAAUGAAAAUAUAUAAACUAAAAAUGAAAAAACAAAUCACUCAAAAAUCAAAAUCUCAAAUCCCUAGCUGCGUUUCCCCAAUUUGCAACCCACAACCUCUCUCUCCUCUCCCACUCAUCUCCCACUCAUCUUCCACGCCUCCCUCCGUCGCCUCUUUGCCGCGUGUUUCUCCAUUACCAGACAGCACAGAACUUCAGCUCAGCCCCUCUCGGCUUCUUCCUCGUAACCGUCUCUCCCUCGCGUUAGCUCAGCCCCUCUCUUCCUUGUCUGCACAGCACCUAGCACAGCCCUUAUCUUCCUCGCGUGCACGGCUUCCUAGCACAACCCCUUAGCAGCGACACAACUCCUCCCCUCAAGCACGAUGACAGCCCCUCACACGCGGUGUUACAGCCUAACACAAUCCCUCACACGUCGUGUUGCAGCCUAGCACAACCCCUCUCUUUGGUGCUGCAGCCUACAAGUGUUAUUUUAUUUUAAUUUAUGCCAUGGCUUGCACAUAGUGUGUAUAGUGUAUACUGUUUAGUUUCUGCUAGUGUUACUUGUGUUAGGGAUUGACUAUUUGUGGACUGUUGAUGUAUACUUGUUGGUGGAGUUAAAAAUGGUGGGUAGAUAUAGUGGUUGUGGAGGCUUGUGAGUUGUGGCAGUGAACUGAAAUGGUUGUAACUUGUAAUGUUGUAUUGUAUAUUGCAGUCGAAAAUUGAACAAUUGAAAAUAGAUAAAUGUAUAAUGCUUCAAUCAAUGAAAAAUUAGAAAUAAUAUUUGUUAUUUAACUUAUUUGGCAUAAUGAUUAAUGACUUAAUUAGCUUCGCGAGGUUGCAAUUUGAUAUUGGCAAUUUGGCAUGGAGAAUUCAAAUUAAAUUAAUAAGUAGUGGAAGUAUAUUAUGAUAUGUUGACCUAAUUUGUUAAAUUAAAUUAUGAUUUAUUAGCUAGUAGUUAAUUGAACUUUAAUUGAUCUUUUUGGCAUGGAUGUUUUAAAUUAAAUCAACAAUUAUUCGAAGUAAAUUAUGAUAUGUUGGCUUAAUUUUUUAAAUUAAAUUAAAUUAAAUUAUGAUAUGUUCGCUAGUAGUUAAAUUAAAUUAAUAAAUUUAAUUGAACUUUUUGGCAUGGACAUUUUAAAUUAAAUUAACAAUUAUUGGAAGUAAAUUAUGAUAUGUUGACUUAAUUUGUUAAAUUAAAUUAUGAUUGGCUAGUAGUUAAUUUAAAUUGAAUUGAUCUUUUUGGCAUGGAUGUUUUAAAUUAAAUCAACAAUUAUUGGAAGUAAAUUAUGAUAUGUUGGCUUAAUUUGUUAAAUUAAAUUAUGAUUUGUUAGCUAGUAGUUAAUUUAAAUUGAAUUGAUCUUUUUGGCAUGGAUGUUUUAAAUUAAAUUAACAAUUAUUGGAAGUAAAUUUUGAUAUGUUGCCAUGUUGGCUCAAUUUAUUAAAUUAAAUUAAAUUAUGAUAUGCUGGCUAGUAGUUAAAUUAAAUUUAAUUGAUCUUUUUGGCAUGAACAUUUUAAAUUAAAUUAACAAUUAUUGGAAGUAAAUUAUGAUAUCUUGCACUAGCUUAUUAAAUUAAAUUAUGAUAUGUUGGCUAGUAGUUAAAUUAAAUUUAAUUGAUCUUUUUUCAUUUCAAUAACUUGUUAAUAAAACAAUAUUACUUAUUUAUUUUUAUUUUAUUUAUUGUGUAUAUCUAAUUAUUCAAGAGUUCAAGACAACCUCGAUUGUGUACCCGAUGAUCUUGAGUGUGAAGUUGAAGUUGAUGAUAGUGAAAAUGAUUCGCCAACAAUUGUCACUAGCAGAAACAAGAGGAAAAAGUCUUUGUCAUCCAAACCGCCACUACCAAGGAAAAAAAUGGCUCCAAGAUCAACAGUGUGGCAACAUUUCACUAGACUUCUAGAUAAUGAUAAGAAGUGCAAAUGCAACUACUGUGGUAAUGAAUUUGAAUAUGGCUCGGUAGGGUACGAGACUAGCACUUUGAGGACUCAUUACCAAGAAAGGUGUCAAAAGUACCAAGAACCUUCAGAAAGACCAAACAACUUUAACUCAAAAUGUCGGUAGUGAUGAAAUUGUAGCAAGAGAUUUUAGUUAGGAUGCUUAUAGAUGAGCAACUAUGAAGAUGAUGUUCUUGAUGAAUUGCCUUUUUGUGUUGUGGAGAAUCCGGGUUUUAAGCAUUUUUGCAGUGUGGCGGCUCCUAGAUAUCUUCUUCCAUCACGAAGAACCAUUACUAGGGAUACUCUUGAUAUGUAUGUUGAGGAAAAGGCUAAGUUGAAGAAUUUAUUGGUUGGGAAUAAGCAGAGAGUGUCUUUGACCACUGAUAUUUGGACUUCCAUUAUGACAGUUAGCUACAUGGUCAUCACAGCUCACUUUAUUGACAAAGAUUUGAAUUUACAUAGAAAGAUUAUCAGCUUCAACAUGGUUAAUGAUCAUUCAUCGGAGACAAUUGGUAAGCGAAUUGAAAAAUGUUUGAUUGACUGGGGCAUAGAGCGAGUAUGUGCUGUAACGGUUGACAAUGCAAGUCCAAAUAAGGGUGCUCUUAGGUACUUAAUUGAUCGACUAAAGACUUGGAGGGAUGAUGCCUUAGUGUUGAAUGGGGAUUAUUUGCAUGUUCGUUGUUGUGCGCAUAUAUGGAAUUUGACUGUGACUGAAAGGUUGAAGGAACUUGAGCCGAGUAUAGUUAGUGUUUGGAAUGUUGUGAAAUAUGUGAGGUCUUCCACUACCAGGAUGCAAGCAUUUCAAAUUCGUGUGCAACAAGAGAAGAUUAAUUCCCGAGGAAGUGUGAUUUUGGAUUGCCCUACUCGGUUCUACAUAUUCCAUGUUGAGUACAUCAUUGAAAUUUAAGCCGGCAUUUGAUUGGAUGGCACUUGAAGAUAACCUUUAUGAUGCUUAUUUCAAUGAAAAAGAGGGGGGGAGGGUAAGAAGAAAAGUGAGGGGCCACCGCUGUAUAGUGAUUGGGAGAGUGCUCGUCGCAUAGUUAAAUUUUUGAAGACUUUUUAUGACGCGACUUUGCAAUUUUCUUCUUCUUUGAAGGUAAUAUCACAUCUUUAUUAUGCUUUUGAAUUUUGAUAUAUGAUAUGGAAUUUAUUUUAGCUUUAUUAUACUUUUGAAUUUUGAUAUAUGAUAUGGAAUUUAUUUUAGCUUUAUUAUGCUUUUGAAUUUUGAUAUAUGAUAUGGAAUUUAUUUUAGGUGACAUCGCACACUUGUUAGAAUUUGACAUGUCAAAUUGAACAAUCUUCGGAAUUGUUGUCUACUAAUAAUGAUAGCCUUUUGGGUUUGAUGGUUAUUAAAAUGAAGGAGAAAUUUGAUAAGUAUUGGGAGGGCUGUUUCAAGAUAAAUAAAACGUUGAUUGUUGCUUCUGUGCUUGAUCCACGGGGAAAGAUGAAAUUUGCAACACAUUGCUUUGAGAAAUUAUAUGGCAAGGAUAGUGCCAAAUGUGUUGAGAUGAAGGAAAUGGUAAAAGAUUUGUUGACUAAGCUUUAUAAGUCUUACAAUGCACAAUAUAAACCGUGUGGUAGUGGGAGUACAAGUGGAAGUGCAAGUGGAAGUACAAGUGGAAGCCAAACUUUAGCUAUUGGAAGUGGAAGUGGUUCGAAUUUUUGGGAUUUAGGUGGUGAUGAUGAUGUUAUGAUUGAGGACCCUUUCUCCAAAUUUAGUAAGGUGGUUGCGGUUAGUGAAGGUAGCCCGGAAUUGUGUGCUUGUGUUAUGGUGGAUGUAGCUAUGGCUUGUGUGCUUGUGUUAUGGAGUUUUAUCAAUUAUUGAUGCACUAUUAUGGACUUGUUAUUUUUUUUUGGGAUAUUAUCAUUCGUAUACCUUAUAGAUACUCUAUUAUCAAAAAUACUAUAAUACUUUGAGGGUGUAUCAAUCGUCCAUCCUAAAUUAACAAAAGUUAUCUGCCGACCACUAAACCGUUAGCUGCCAUUUAAAAGUUAACGGAAUAAUAGUGAAUUGAUGAUUUUACCCCUUAAAAUUAUCACUUGUAUACCCUUAAAUUCUUUUAUUAUCACUUGUAUACCUUUAAAUUAUCACUUGUAUCAUAUGAAAAGACCAAAUUACCCCUCUGGCGUUAUCCUAUUUAAACGGCAAGUAACGGUUUGGUGGACGGCAUAUACAUUUUGUCAACUUAGGGUGGACGAUUGAUACACCCUCAAAGUGUUGUAGUAUUUUUGAUAAUAGAGCAUUUAUAGGGUAUAUGAAUGAUAAUUUCCCUUUUUUUUGUUGCCAUGGACUUAUAAUUUGUAGUAGACUUUUAAGUUUAAGCGUGUUUAUGAAUUGCGAAUAUUUGUAUUGGGAAUUUUUAUUAUAUGGCUUGUGUACUUGUGUUAUGGAGUUUUAUCAAAUAUUGAUGCACUAUUAUGGACUUUUUUUUUUUAGGUUGCCAUGGACUUAUAAUUUGUAGAAUUGUCAAUUGUAGUAGACUUUUAAGUUUAAGUGUGUUUAUGAAUUGUGAAUAUUUUGUAUUGAGACAUUUAUUAUUUCGCUUUUGAUUUAAUAGUUUUAUACUUGUUUAUUCAUAUUAUAUAGUGUUAUUAAUAUUAUAUGUGUAGAGUGUAGUUUGGUACUUGGUAUUGGUAGUUAAUGGGAGUGUAAAUUGCAAAAUUAAGUAAAAUUAGGUGGAAAGUAUAAAAUCUGAUAAUAUUAGGGUAAAUCUAUAAAAUUAAGAAAAUGAAAAAUCUGAACCGAACCGAAUUUAGGAACCGAACUGAACCAAACCAAAUAUUUCAGUUCAGUUCAGUUCGAGUUCGGUUCACACUCUUAAGGCUCGAUUGAUUUUGGUUCGGUUCGGUUCGGAGCCCGAUGUUGGAUUAUUCACAUAUAAGUCCAAUAUUGGAUUAACGAUCCAACAAUAUUGGAUUAAAAAUCCAACAUUAUCCACCCAAAUGCCAGAGCAAUCUCAUGCAUAAUUUUCCUUGAAAGGUCAAACAUCAACAAGAGAUCAAAAGGUGCAGUAAGAUUUUUUGCCAGAUCAUGAACUGUAGAAAAGUCCUAAAAACGAGACAAUCAAUGUUUUGAAAAAAAAAUUAAAUGGGAAUAGUGUCCCCGUUAUAAUCCCCAUUCAAUUUGUGGAUUUUUGAGGACAUGCCCAACCUAUGCUCAAUAAAACUUUUUGAGGUAUGAGGUGGGUUUGGGGAUUGCUUCCAAACUGCAUUCAAGUUCGUGCGUCAUGAUCCCCGUCUCGAACCCGGCCCAUUCCUAUCACUACUUAAUAGGAUCAUUAAACACAAAACUAAGGACUGAAAAGUUGAAAUAAAUGAACCAAUAAAUGAGAAAGACUAACUAAAAUUAGAGACAUAUGAAAUAAACUUGGAAGAAACGUCUAUUAAAUUGAUAUUUAACCAAAAGAAUUGCAAUAUGAUUAACAAAUUUUAAAAUGUUUUCUCAUUCAAUUAUUUUUUAUGUUUAUUAUUUAAAAAUUUCCUUCUUUUUUUCAUUUAUUGAAUUUUUUAGCAUUAAAAAUAAAAUAUAAAAAUUAUUUAAUGAAAUACCGCCAUACGAGUUGUUAAAAUAUUUAUCAGAGGUUGUAUGAAAUUGUAGGAUGACCCUAAGAAAAGAGAAAAACAUUUAUUUGUGGGACCCGACCGAUCACGGAACAUGGGUUCGAAACAUGGAUCCAACUACCUUGCAAUAGUUGCAAGGUACCACAACUUUUGUCUUUUUAUGCAAUAAAUUUCAUUUGACCUCUUACUUUUCUUUUUUUAAUUUAUUUUUAAUUAUAAUUUUAUUUUUCUCUCUCAUUCUUUCCCUCCACUCCAUAGGUGGCCCAAUCUUUUUUCCUUUUAUUAUUAUUAUUAUUAUUUGCUUAAUGAUUAUUUUAAUUAAAAAAAUCUAAUGAAUAAAAAAAUAUAAACCAUAAGCUAUUAACAAUUAGCCUAAAGGAGUAUAAAAGCAAGCAUUGAGUUUGGGCUUUGGCUAAAUUUUGGAAAAAUUUUUUUAACACUUUCAUUAAAUUAGAAAAUUAAAACAAUUUGAUAUAAUUAGGAUUCCAUCGGGAUCCCGAUUGAAGUCCUGACUAGUCCUGAGUUUUAAUGAGAAUAAAUUUAAUCUCAAAUUCUUAUUUAUUUUAAUUAUUUUUUAAGUCAUAUACCGUUUCAUGUACCAUUUGGAACAGGAUUUGGGAUUCCGAUUGGGAUUCGAUUUUUUCUACCAACUUUAAUUGGCAAAAGAGUUUUAAUUAGCUAAUUGAGAAUGUUAUGUUAAUUAACAAAGUUAUAAUAAUCUACGAUUGUUAUAAGAAUCUACAAUGUAUAACUUAGGAAUAGUAAAGCUCCUAUUAUUUAGCUUAUUUGGGUGUAUAGGCUUAUUGAAUUAAUUCAUACCAAUAUAAUUUGAUUAGAAUCGAAGUAUCUUAAUUAUGAAUUUUAUUCUUCUACUCUUUUGCAAAUGUUAAUAUUGAAAUAUAACUGUGCAACCCAAGAGGGGGGUGAAUUGGAAUUUUAAAAAUCAUCCUAGCAAAUCCACACAACAAGCAAUCUAAUGUCUUAAUAAAAAUUGAAAGCAAUAAGUUCAAUCAAAGUACAAUAAUUAAAGAGCAAGGGAAGAGAAAGCAAACUCAAGGAUUUUUACGUGGUUCGGUAAUCCCCGCCUACGUCCACGCCUCCAAGCACACCGGGCUUGAGGAUUUCACUAUCCAAGCCUUUCCAAGGCUUCAAACGAUUACAAAUGACUUCAAGGUGUCAAUGAACCUUUACAACAAGAGAUUAUAUCUCCAAUUUCUUCACCCCAAGUGUUUCUCACACUUGUACUCUAACAAUUUGAUGUAAAAUGAAAAAUACAACAAUCAAUCUCUCUUUAAGAGUGGAUAUACAAAUUGAAGAACAAAGAUGAUUUAAUGAAUGAUGAUUCACGAAGUUGAAACUCAAUAUAUGUUGUGUACACUUGUUCUUGCUUGCUUGGAUCACCAAAAAUGAAUUGGUUUUGAGUUUAUAUAGUUUGAGCUCAAAAACUAGCCGUUAUGCACAUUUUGGUCGUAACCGGAUUACCGGUUAUGGACAUCAAGAAUUCCGCUUAAUGUUACCAUUACAGCCACAAUUUUGAAUUUCUGAACAUUCGGAUUGCCGCUUUGUCACAUCCGGAUUUUCGCUUAUACUCAGUAGCUUACUGCCCAACAACCGGAUUUUCGUUUGUCAGGAUCCGGAUUUCCGCUUUCAAUUUGGAUACAUUCUGCCCAAAAUUCGGACUUCCGUUUGUCAGAAUCUGGAUUGCCGCUUGCUAUAGUGACAACUACAGUGAACUAUUUUCUAAAAUUAUAGUUUGACCCCAAAACUUUAUAAAACUAUACUACGGCCCAAAACGUUAUAAAACUUUACAAAUAAAUCCAAUUUCAUAAUUUUUAAAUAAUACUUUGUCAAUCUCAAAACUUUUUGAAAUUAUGAUUUCACCCAAACUAUGUGAAAUUAUAAAAUGACCUAAAAUAUUUAAAUAGUUUCAAAUAGGUCCAAAUCCGAAAUUUAAAACACUAUUAAAGAUUUUUAAAAUACUUUCAUUUUAGUCCAAAAUACUUUAAUUCCAUAACAUCAUUUUCUUAUUAUAAAAGAACAAUUCAUAAAUCUUUGUUUAAUCAAUACAUGUGGUUUGUUAUCAUCAAUAUCAAUAUUUAUAGCCAUAUAGGCUAACAAUCUCCCCCUUUUUUAUGAUGACAAAACACAUUAUAAAAAAGUUUAAUCUAGUUAUGAAAAGCUCCCCCUAAAUCAAUGCAAGGUAAAAAAAAUGAUUUGAAAAAAAAAAAAAACUCCCCCUACAUACAUGCAUACUCCCCCUGGAUACAUGUAUAUUUUCAUAACACUUUUUAUAACACAUAUUCAAUUAUUCUCCCCCUCAUCAUCAAAAAGAAAAACUUAAUUGGCAAAGAAAAAAUAGCAAAUUUUUAUAAAUUUAAAAACAUGUAUUCUUCUCCCCCUUCAUCAUCAAAAAGAAAAUGUAAAGGAAAAGAAUAAAAGUAGCAAAUUGGUUACCCACGUUGUUUGAGUAGAAAUUUUGAAAGAAUCUCCCCCUAACAACAAGCAUCACCUCAAAUACAAAUUUAGUAAUAUUACUCACAAAUUAUCAUCAUCAUAUAAUCAAAUACCAAUUAUCAAAACAAUUACUCAAAAUGCAUAUUAUUCUCCUCCUUUUGAUAACAUCGAAAUGAUAUAUUAUUUUGUCUCCCCCUUUGGACAACAAAAAAAAAAACAAUUCAAAAUGCAUAUUAUCCAAAAUCAUAUUAUAUGCUCCCCUAAAUAAAUGGCCAAUUUAAAAAUUUAACCGAAAUGAUUUUAUCCAAAAACAUAUUAUAUUUGUCUCCCCCUUAAAAAUGAACAAAUUCUCAAAUACACAACAUGGUUAAAAACACUUCCAUAUAAGCUUAAACAAUAAUAACCAACCAACAACUCCUUCAAUUUAUCAAGCAAAGCAUAUAUAAUCAUCAAUUACCAAGAUCAUCAAGAAAUCAAAUCAUUCCAAGUUUAUGCCGAAUUUUUUGAAAAUUCUUCUUCAUAAAGAGGUUUUGAUUUCUUUACCAAAUUGGCAUGCAUAUUAUCAAAUAUUCAAGCUCCAUAAUUAUCAAUCACAUUUUAUAAAUAAAGACAACUAAACUCAUCAAAUAUCUAAUGUGACAUUUCAAUAUAACAAAAAAAAAUCUCAUAUGCUUAAAAUUCUUGAAGUAUAUGUAUUUCUCUCUUUUUCGAUAUCAUUUAAAACAAGUAAGACAUAUUCAACAAUACAUCGAUAAAGUACAAAAAAAAAUGCAUUCAUUCACUAAUCAUAGAUUGCAUAAGAUCAAAGCUUCAUCAAAUACAAUGUAAUCAUCAAUACACAUUCUUUAUCAUCAAAACUUAAGUAAAAACAUAAGUACAUAAUGGCAAUAUAUAAAUCAUCAAAAUCAACAUAUGCCAAUAUAUAGAUCAUCAAAAUCAACAUAACUAUUAAGAAAAGCCAUCAUUAUGAGCUAAAGAACAAGUGAUCAAAUCCAUUAUUACAAAUGUUUAUAUAUAUUUCUAAAUGAUGAUCUAGUAGUUACAUCUUGUGAUGGAUCUCCUAAAAUUAAGUUCGUAAGGUGAGAAGAAUCAUAUAAUUCAAAAUCAUAGCAAACAUCCAUAUAAUCCAAAAUGCAAAAUAAAAGAAAAAUAAAAUAGUAAAUGAAAUGUUAGUGUGUCUAAAUACAAGCAUAAAGGAUUUGAAGUGAAAAAGGAUGAGAUUGAUGGAGUUUAGAGAGAUAUUGCGUGAGAGAGGAAGCGGUUUUUAGUGAGAGAGUAAGAAAUGGAAUGCCGAAUGAAGAAGGAAGAAGAGCAGUACCCAUUUAACCGCGAAACCGGUUUGCCAGAAGUCACUAACCGGCUGUCCGGUUAGUAUCCAAAAGCUGGAAAAAUCGAAACCGGUUUGCUGGAUGAGUUUAACUGGAAAUUCGGUUGGUUCCAGCAAAUAUUUCACGCAAAUUCAGUUUUCCGGAUAACACGAACCAGCUUGCCGGUUGGAUCCAGAAGAUAGCAAGUGAAAAUCUGCUUGCCGGUUUGCCAAAGUGUAGCUCGAAUCCAGAAUUUCGAAUUGACAGAACAGGAAAUCCGGUUUGUUCCAGAAGGCUUUCCUUGCGAAUCCGGCUUUCCGGUUUUGCUAACCAGUAGUCCGGUUUGAGGUAGAAAGUGGCCUAUUGAAUUUGGUUUUCCAGAUUUUAAGAAUCGGUUAUCCGGUUUUGAGGCAGAGGGAAGGCUUAGCAAAUCCAGUUUUCCGGAUUGAAAAUCUGGUUAUCCGAAUGUUGUCCCGAGAGCAACCAAAGCUAAUCUGGUUUAGACUUGGAAAACCUUUUGUCUCUAAUUGAAUAUUGGCUAGCUCUUAUACUUGUAUUACACUCACCAUUUUAUUUUUGGCUUUUAAAAUUGAUUAAUUUUAAAUCAUUUUGAGAUUUAAAACUUUUCAAUAAGCCAUUUAAUACAUGAGACAUAAAUGCAUACAAGACCAAACAUAUGAAAUCGUAUCAAACAAUGAUGUCAAUUUUAUAAGUGAAUGAUGAUAUAACACAAUUAACGACACAAGAAUUCACACAUAUAAUUCAUUCAUCAUGUAUAUAUUUUACACAAUCAUGAAACAUAUAAGCAUUCAAAGAUUAAUAAUUCAAGCAUAUCAUUCAUUUAUCAAGCUUAGGCAUUACAUAAUCAUCAAAAUCAAACAAAGCUAUCAUGAUGAGUUGACAAGCUAUCAUCUUAUAUAUAUAACCAUGCAUCAUGAUAAAGCAUUCAAUGUUAAACACAAUGAUAAUUCAAUCAUGUAAACAUACAAGCAUACUUUCGCAAAUUCAUUUAUCAUGGUUCAUUCAACAAAAUUAAUAUGGCAAGAAUUGUUACCAAAACAAUUAAAUCAUCUUGCCUCAUCUUUUUCUCCUAGAUCAUACUCAAAUGAUUAUCCUCACAAGCUUCAUCAAGGAACUCUCCACCAUUCCUUGUUUGUGGUACCUACAAAAGAAUAUUCAAGUUGUGCCCUUUGGUACCCAAAUGCUCUUGGGUCCUUGAGUGUUAGCAAUGGUUCCUUUUGGAACCCAAAUACAUUUUACUUCAUAAUAUACUUUUCUUUUAAUAGGACAACCAAGCUUCAUGUGACCGUUUUGAUUACAAUAAUGACAUACAACUUGAUUGUUAAUAGAUGUACUCUUCACAAAGUAGUUCUGAAAAUACUUUUGUUUCAAAUUUGGCUUAUAACCAAAUCCUCUUUUAUCAAACACACAUUUUUUGUGAAUUAAUCAAGUUAUCCAACAUCUUUUGCCCAUUUGUAAAUUUUAUGACAAUCUCAUUUAAUUCAUUGCUCUUCUUCUUAAGCAUUUCAUUUUCCUUUUUCAAGUCAUCUAUGUGAUAUUUUAAAUGCUCAUGUGAAGUGCUAGUUUUCUCAUUUGAUAAUGCAACUCUAUCAUGCAAUGUUUUAUUCUCUAAUUCUAGGCAUGUAAUCUUUGCACAUAGAGAUUCAUUUUCAUUUUUGAGCUCUACCAUUUUCUUUUUAAGACAUGCAUUCUGUUUACCAAUUUUUAUCCAAUUAUCAUGUAAUUCUUUAAAAGCAUCAUAUAAUUCAUCAUAAGUAAAAAGAUCAUUUACCUCAUCAAGUUCAUCAUCCGAUUCAUCUCCAAUUGCCAUGAGAGCUAGAUUUAUCAUUUCUUGAUGCUCUUCAUCAUCACUUGUUUCCUCAUCGCUAUCAUCCCAUGUGGCUACCAUUGCUUUCUUCUUGAGCUUGUUGAGAAGAGGACAUUCCGUUCUUAUAUGGCCAAGUUUCUCGCACUCAUAACAUUUGAUUAAUUCCUUCUUCUCCUUUCGGUUCUUGAGGUCUCUAAAUUUUCUUCGCUCACCGGAUUUCUUAAAAAGUUUUCUGAACCUCCUAACCAGCAUAUCCAUCUCUUCCUCAUCUAGCUCGUUUUCCUCAUCACUCUCAUGUUUCGAGGUUUUGAGAGCAAUGUUUUUCUUUUUCUCCUCAUUGCCUCUUUCGGCUUCCAAGUCUUCCUCAUAAGAAAUAAGAGAACCAAUUAAAUCAUCAAUAGGUAAGAUAUUUAAAUCCUUGGCUUCCUCAAUGACAGUCCUUUUUUGUCUCCAUUCCUUAGGUAGAGACCUAAUAAUUUUCUUAACCUUAUCCCUAUUUGAAAAAGUCUUUCCUAGGGCUCCUAGAGUGUUCACUAUGUCCGUAAAUCUAAUAUACAUAGAAUACAUACUCUUAUUUUGUUCCAUUUGGAACAAUUCAUAUUGCCGAGUGUACCUACUAAUUUUAGACUCUUUCACUUGAUUUGUGCCUUGAUAAACAACUUCAAGUUUGUGCCAAAUUUCAUUAGCACUCUCACAACUAGAUACUCUAUGAAAUUCUUUCUUAUCUAGUGCACAAAACAAGGCAUUCAUAGCUUUGGAAUUUAGAGUAACUUUUCCCUUUUCCAAUUCAUUCCAUUCCCGUGAAGGUUUUGGAAUAUCUUCCCCGACUUCGUUUCUAGUCAAAGGCAUAAAUGGACCAUAACAAACAAUUUCCCAAAUUUCAUAAUCUAAAACUUGUAAAUAAAUUCUCAUCCUAGUUUUCCAAUACGGGUAGUCAUUACCGUCAAAAAACGGUGGUCUAAUUGUGGAUUGUCUUUCCUUAAAGAUUGAGUCAUUAUGGGUUGCCAUGGAUCUUUAACUCUAGACGGUUAAGUCUACACAAGAGCACCUCGCUCUGAUACCAAAUGAAAUAUAAGUGUGCAACCCAAGAGGGGGGGUGAAUUGGAAUUUUAAAAAUUAUCCUAGCAAAUCCACACAACAAGCAAUCUAAUGUCUUAAUAAAAAUUGAAAGCAAUAAGUUCAAUCAAAGUACAAUAAUUAAAGAGCAAGGGAAGAGAAAGCAAACUCAAGGAUUUUUACGUGGUUCGGCAACCCCGCCUACGUCCACGCCUCCAAGCACACCGGGCUUGAGGAUUUCACUAUCCAAGCCUUUCCAAGGCUUCAAACGAUUACAAAUGACUUCAAGGUGUCAAUGAACCUUUACAACAAGAGAUUAUAUCUCCAAUCUCUUCACCCCAAGUGUUUCUCACACUUGUACUCUCACAAUUUGAUGUGAAAUGAAAAAUACAACAAUCAAUCUCUCUUUAAGAGUGGAUAUACAAAUUGAAGAACAAAGAUGAUUUAAUGAAUAAUGAUUCACGAAGUUGAAGCUCAAUAUAUGUUGUGUGCACUUGUUCUUGCUUGCUUGGAUCAUCAAAAAUGAAUUGAUUUUGAGUUUAUCUAGUUUGAGCUCAAAAACUAGCCGUUAUGCACAUUUUGGUAGUAACCGGAUUACCGGUUAUGGACAUCCAAAAAUCCGCUUAAUGUUACCAUUACAGCCACAAUUUUGAAUUUCUGAACAUUCGGAUUGCCGCUUUGUCACAUCCGGAUUUUCGCUUAUGCUCAGUAGCUUACUGCCCAACAACCGGAUUUCCGUUUGUCAGGAUCCGGAUUUCCGCUUUCAAUUUGGAUACAUUCUGCCCAAAAUUCGGACUUCCAUUUGUCAGAAUCCGGAUUGCCGCUUGCUACAGUGACUGCUACAGUGAACUAUUUUCUAAAAUUAUAGUUUGACCCAAAAACUUUAUAAAACAGUACUACGGCCCAAAACGUUAUAAAUCUUUACAAAUAAGUCCAAUUUCAGAAUUUUUAAAUAAUACUUUGUCAAUCCCAAAACUUUUUGAAAUUAUGAUUUCACCCAAACUAUGUGAAAUUAUAAAAUGACCCAAAAUAUUUAAAUAGUUUCAAAUAGGUCCAAAUCCGAAAUUUAAAACACUAUUAAAGAUUUUUAAAAUACUUUCAUUUUAGUCCAAAAUACUUUAAUUCCAUAACAUCAUUUUCUUAUUAUAAAAGCACAAUUCAUAAAUCUUUGUUCAAUCAAUACAUGUGGUUUGUUAUCAUCAAAAUCAAUAUUUAUAGCCAUAUAGGCUAACAAAUAUGUUAAACAUAUUCUUACUAUUUUGAAUAUUAAACAUUGACACACUAAUAUAAUAUCAUAAAAAAUAGUAAUAAUUGGAAAAUUUCGCUAUAAUUUGGGUUGAAACUUAAAUUAAUAAUCUGGAAUUAUAUUUUUUUAUUAUUUUACGUUGAAGUUCCAGCCUCCAGGUACUAAACCAAAUUAAUGGCUUGGGCUAAUGAAAGGAAUAAUUGGUUAAUGCUUUUCUAACUUGAACUAACGAUAUCUAUUAUUUCAUUCUAUGAUUAUUUUUUAUUUUUUUAAUUACUUUCGGUUCCAGUUCAUGGUACAUGAGAUACAUGAGAUGAAGAAAUUAGGAAUUGGNNNNNNNNNNNNNNNNNNNNNNNNNNNNNNNNNNNNNNNNNNNNNNNNNNNNNNNNNNNNNNNNNNNNNNNNNNNNNNNNNNNNNNNNNNNNNNNNNNNNGUAAUUUUUUGGAAUUUUAAAAAAUAUAGGGACUAUAAUGUUAAUUACCAAAUAGACACAUCCUUACCAUGGACGCUACUUUUGCAUUAAAUCGGACGGUGAGGAGCUAAAGUCACAAAAAGAUAAAAAUUCUGGUACGUUGUAACUGUUGUAACUAAGGCGAAUCCUUAAAACAUCUGACAAAGGGAGUACUUUUCUAUAAAAAAUUUAUCAUUUACAAUUUUUUUUACCAUCUCAUUUUGUCACUAACUCCUUUUGCCUUUGGUCAGAGCCACAAGCAAUGAUGAUGAUCCAACUGACAGUUAAUUAUAAUCCAUGAAUUAUUCUUCUUUUGUGUAAUUUUUUUUAAUUUUCUAUAUAUAUUUAUAGCACAGUUUAAAGUUUGAAGAAUUUGGUGGAAAGAGGAGCGACUACAAUCUAUACAUAACUUGUAUUUUUAAAAGAAAUUAUCUAUGUACUACCGCUAUUUCGUGAUAUAUACAACUAAUCACUAUAAAAUUUUAACUUUUUUUGCACUACUUUUGUUUUUAAACUUGUAUCAAUGAACCACUUUGACACUAAGAAUCUAAAUAAAAUAAUUAUUUUACUCCUAAAUGAAUUAAAAGACUAUUUUAUCCUAUAAAAUUUUUAAAAACAAAAAAAAUUAUAAUUACAAUACAACUAAUUGAUAGAAUUUUAUUGAAAAAUAGAUGUGUAAGAACCAUUUAAUUAAUUGAUAAAAUAUUAUUGAUUCUUUUAAUCAUUUUGACCUAAAAUACAUGUACUACUCAUCUCAAAUAUUUUUUUUUUUUGGUUUUUUUAAUCAAUCAUACAAUCACAAUUAUCAAAUAAUUUUCAUUGUUUAAAUUAAUCACCAAAAUAAUAAUAGUCUCAACCAACUUUGAACAAUAAAAAAAACUAUAAUUACAAAAAUUAUUGUUUAAAAAUUAUAAUUAUAAAAAUUAACAUAUUGGAUUUUGGUAUUUAUUUGUUUUAUUAAAUUUAGAGCUAUUCUUGUAAUUAUAAUUUUUUUAAAAAAAAUUGUAGAAUAAAAUGAUCAUUUAAUUUAUUUAGGGUUAAAAUUGUCAUUUAAAAAAAAUUCUUAGUGUCAAAGUAGUUGAUUGAUACAAGUUUAGAAAUAAAGGUGGUGCAUAGAGAAUUUUCCUAUUUUUAAUUUUACUCAAAUUAGUGCCCUAGUCUUGAUAUUAGCCAUAAAAUUUAAAUAUUUUGAGAAUAUGAAUCAAGUGAAAUGGCUUAUAUGCCCACAAUGAUUAAAUUAACUUAACAAUGAAUUAUAAAUUAUGACAAAAAAUUACCUAACAUGUAUAUGUAUGUAUGUAUGUAUGUAUGUAUGUAUCUUUUAUAUUCACAAGACUUAUUAGGGUAACAAGUUAUUUGUCAAUGGUAUUUGUGUUUAAAAGAGGAAAUUUUUUUAUAUAGGGUAGAGUGAGUUGGAUUUUAUGACAAAAGGUUAAAACAAAAUGAAUGCAUAUACCUACCCGUGGUAUAUUUUUAGGUACCAUUUAAUCAUCUUUUGUAAUAUCCCAACAUAUAUAUUGCAAUGGACACAUAUGCCCAAAUAUUAUUGCUAUGUUAAUUUAUAUAUGAGCAUAUUAUAUUUGCCUCCUCUUUAUAUAGUACUACAAUUUAUGUGGGUGCUCCAGUAGUCACAUAUGGCCAAUUGUUAUUGCAAUUUAAAUGGACACUUUAUACAACUAUUAGGGGCAUUUAUGAUAAUUCUCUUACUUGUAAAUUUUCUCUAUAAUUUACAAUUCAUUAUAAAUUAAUUUUAUGAUUAAGGGUAUAUCAGUCAUUUUAGUUAAUCUAUAUUCUCAAAAUAUUUAAAUUUUGUGGUACAUCAAGACUAGUGUAGAAAAGUAAAAUAAUUAUAAAAUUAAAAAUGAUGUAACUUGAGGGAGUUUGAACCUGUUCUAAAAUAUGAAGGUUUUUUUUGUUUUAUUUCUCGAAACAACAAGGGUAAUUCUCAUUUUUCCAAUUAGUUUUGGAACUCUAUUAAUAACAUAUAUUAAUUUCUUUAUUAUUUAACAAUGGGAUUAUGAAUACAAAUCAUGCUAGGAUAGGCAUAAGCAUGCUGAAUGACACGAGGCAAGUCGAAAUUAAUGACUUUAAUAUAGGGGUAUGCCUGAAAGUGAAAGCAAUAAAGGUUACUCUACGACUGCCACCAACAUCGACAGGGUGCUUGAUGUGGUUGAAACCCUAGUAAGCCUUAUUAAUCCCUUAGUGAUGCUGUUAAUAAUGAGAGCAAUAUGGUUAUAACAGUGGCGGAUUCAAAAAAAAAUUUAUUGGGAAUUUAAUUAAAUAAUAGUAAAAUAUAAAAAUUAAAAUUUUGAAUAUAUAAAAUAUUUGUUAAUAUAUUUAUAAUUGUUUUCAAAGCAUUUUUAUAUUUUUAAUAUGUUAUCUAAUAGAUUCAUUGUAUUAAAUAUUUUUUUUUUCAUAAACAACCAAACUAUUAUUCAUCCCAUUCAAUUCUAGAGAUGAUUCUUGACGAAUUUCAUUGCCGAAAAUGUUUUCUUUACUGUUGCGGCAAACUAGAAGAAUUAUCCUUAUUUUUGGAAAUAGAAAAAUGUUUUAGACGGUGGGCUAUUAUUAUUUUUAAUUAAAGUGUAGGCUUUAUAAUUCUUAACAAUUAAAGUUUAAAUUUUAUGGAUUUUUAAAUUUAUAGAAUGGGGGCCAUUUAGAAACCCAAAAUAAUUUUUCCUUUAAUUCUUUGAUUUUUUUUUGGCUUGCUUGUUGGGGCUCUGUUCACAUGUUGAAUCCACCACUGCAUUAUACACCGCUGUUUCAAAACUUUUAGGGAACUUUACCCAUUUGACCACUUUCCAACUUUCAAUAUAAAAAAAGACUUCACUCUAGUUUUUCUUACAAUAACAACCAUUUACAAGGUUCUUAGACCAAAAUACCUCUAAAACUAAACAAACAAACCCCAAACUCCCAAGCAACAAUCGAACAUCUCCACACACCACCAAAAUACUCAUCAUUUCACCUCUCCCACAUUAUCCAACUAUCACUCAGCCUCCCUUUUAUCUAUCUCACAUUCAUCAAACUAUUAUAUUUAUCAAAGUAUUGAAGACAAAAUCAAGCAAUAAACUAAAGAAUAAUAAGAAGUUAGGGUUAGUAUUUCUUCAAUAUCUAUCUUUUAUUUUUUGGUUGGGUUUAAUACAAAAGAUCGGUUGCUCAUUUUACUACAAUGUGGGUACAUUAAAUGGUUAAUGUGAGGUCAGAGAUUUAUAAAUUAGUAAAAUUCUGGCAAAAUUCGACGAAAAUGGGUUUUGAACAAUGUUGAACACGAAACCUAGAAUCCAGGUGACAAGUACCUGUCACCCAAACUUAGAAUAACUUGUCGUACUUGUCACCUGAAUUCUCGUAUUCAUCACCCAGGUGACAAAAUACUGCAUGUUGGGCGAUUAGUGCUCAUGUCACCCAAUAUACAAUCGCAUGUAAUUUGGGCGACAUUAUCUAUCACCUGGGCGAUAGUACUGUCAUCCGGAUCACCCGAAUUUGUUGAUAAUUAGUUAUUUAAUUAAUAUAGUAAUAUUAUUGUUUGCAGUAUUUUUAAUAAAGUAUUAUUAUUAUUUUGCAUCAGGUUAAUAGAGUUGGUAGUUCUUAUGAUGUAUUUUGAUAGAGCGUGGGAGACUUUGGAGGAUGGUCGUAUGGAGUACGAGAAUGGAAAAGUUACUGCAUUUUGUUUCCAAAACGAUGUAACAUUUGAACAAUUUAUUGCAAAGUUGUAUGAAAUUCUGAAGAAAAGUCCGGAUGAAUAUUCCCUCUUAGUAAAGACAAAUGUGAAAUCAACUCAUCCGACGAAAUCCAUUGAUUCCUGCUUAUAGACAUAGUAGACGAUGAAAUGGUGAGAGUGAUUAUGCGUAUGAACUCUGAUCCAAUUAACUAUGAGUGCACUCUUAUUUAUGUAACGACAAGUCCUAAAGUUCCGAUAGAACUUUCUUUGAUGCCAUCAAUUCAAACUUUAGCCUUUAAACACUGCUCCACAUUCCGCUCCCAUAAUGAUCCUAUUGAUGACAAUGUUGUUAAUACAGAUGUGAAUGCAUGCAGAAACAUAUAACAUUGAAUCCCAAAUGUAUUCUAAACAUUGCAAUAGUCCAAUCAACAUUUUGGAGGAUGUAGAUCGGUUUCAAGAAGUUAAUGAUUCAUCUCAAAAUCAUCUUAUCAGUCCAAGGACCUGUAGCCAAAACUUGUAGCCAAAGUCAGUCUAUUAGUCUAAUGGCUUGUAGCUAAAGUCGAUCUAGAGUUCCAAGUCUAAUAGACCCACGGCAGUUGGAGGCUCUAAUUGUACCAUCAGAUUGGAUAGCUUCAGACAUGGUUAAUGGUUCUAUUUACAGGGGUAUUUUUGUGGGCCAUACCAAUUAUUCAGCAUGAAAAAACUUAAAGUAUUGUGCUCCAUCGAAAUACUAAUCACGUAUUUGUCACCCAAGUAUUUUUUGUGCAAAUUUUCCACAUUACCACAUUUCAAUCCUGUCACCAAGCACCAUUCUCGAAGAGAGAAAUGUAACAUCUCGUUGCCAAUCCUAAACCACAUUUGGUACUCAUCAUCAACUUGUUUCAUGACUAGUCUGAGCAACAAAUAAUGUACAAGAUUGUUGCUAAAUCCAAGGUCCCCCAUCGUUAGAAAAUGACCAAAAUUGACUUUUUGAAUAGGCUAAAUUGAGUAUCAGUUAACUGGGUCUGUAUACACGUAAUGACAAAAUUAAAUCUCGUUAAAUUCGAAACGCAACAGGCAAAAUGAUCCUCGAUUGGUAUCUUCAAUGACCAGUGAUGCAUCUACUUGUCAGACAUAUCUAAGCAAUAAAUUAGGACAACAUUAGCAUAAAUGUUUCAAAAACAAAAACAAAACUGAAAUAGUCGGAAAACUUUAGGAUAACAUUAGCAUAAAUGUUUCAAAAGAAAAACAAAACAAAAAUGAAACAAUUGGAAAACUUAGGCGACAGCAUGAUUCAGUUGUUGUCACCCUACGUUGCCCGAUACAUGGGCAACAGGAUAUAUCGUCCAACCAAAUCUGGGCGACACAAUUCUGUUGUCCAGAUUUAGUUCCUAUCGCCUAGAACGCAGGCAACAACAUAUAUUGCCCAACCAAAUCAUGUCAUCACUCAUUUGCAUGCCUGGACGAUGCAAGCUUGUCGCCCGCGUUGCUCAGCCUCCCAUGCCACGCAUGGCCAUUUGGUUAGGUGAUGGAGGGGAAGCCACCCACUUUGCCCAAGCUUAACAUGGCCAAAUUUUAGGCAACACAAGCAACCACUCAUGUUCUUGAUUGGCUGGCACACCAACUUUCUCUUUAACCUCAAAAUAAUUCUCAGUAUAGAUCAACAAUUUCUUAGAGAUAUUUAAACAAAUACUUGGUGUGCCAUUUAUUAGAUAUCUUAAUCUUAAGAAAAUUGUAAUAUUUUCAUACCCAAUACACACCCUAAUGAUUAACUAUGAUCAAUGGUGAAUCAACUAGGCAAUUUAAACAAAAAAAAUAUUCUAAAUUAAUGAAAAAAAUUGUGAAAGUACCUAAGCUGCCAAAACCGUAAGUGAAUGAACUUGCUGGAACCAAACUAUAACUCACGUAAAUUGCCACUGGAAGUGAAGGAAAUCGCCGCUGGAAGUGAAGGAACUCGGAGGAACUCAAGAAACACCGAAAGUGAAGGAACUCCGGUGGGCGUAAUUGGAGCGAUAUGAGAUGUUUUUAGCUGAAUAUUGGGUUAAAUGUUUUGUUUGUUUUGUUUUGAGAAUUUGUAAGUGGUUGUUGUUGUAAGAAAAAUUAAAGUGUGGUCUUUUUUUAUAUUAAAAGUUGGAAAGUGGUCAAAUGGGUAAAUUUUCCAAAAUUUUAUUGAACCUAGGUUUCAAUCCGAGGUUAUCAUAAGGCAUGUGUUCCAUGGUUUUGAUUCAAUGGAAUUCCUUAAUCCUCCUUUAAGAAUUCUUCUUUCAGUUGGUACCUAUAUAUAGACCAAUUAUUUUAUCAUUUUUAAAUUGACAAGCUCGAUCUCACCCCAUUUACCUAAGAGAAACCAUGAAUCAAAAUAGAAGAACUUUCUCCACCAAUGAGUAAAUAUUUCAUAGUAAUCUCAUUAGACCGUAUGUCUUUUUUAUAUAUCUAGAUAAUAGAUAGGACCAUAAACUGAAAUAUUCUAAAACUACAAAGAUAGUUAUUAAAUCGUUAGCACCCAUAAAAACAUUCCUCCUAACACCAAAUUUUGUGCCUAGUUUCGAAUUUAAUUAAUGCAAGUGAAUGAUUUCGAGUACGAAAGGUGCAAAUCAGCACCAUUAUCAUUAUGAUUGAUUUUUUGUUUUUUUUUUUGUCAAGAUCAUUAGUAUUACGAGAGGAUCAUAGUGUUAUAUGAAGUCAAUGAUUUUGAAGAGAAGAAGCACAUAAAGUAAUAGAUAGAGAAGAGAUCUUGACAUAUUGCUAUACUAGAUCUCAUUCACAAAGAAAGAUAUACUUAAAUAGCCGAUAAUUUACCUUGUUCUAGAUUAAAAAAACAAGAAUUUCCUUUGGUCGUAUUAAAAAGCACAUCGAAAUGUACAUCAAUACACCAUUUUACACUCUAUCUUAUUUGAAAUAUAUUGAGUGAUUGGUGCGUAUUCCCUCGAAGAUUCUUGUUGAGUGUGCGAUUGGUGGAAAAAUAAUCAAAACCCCCUGUUGUUUGUCCAAUUUAAUCAUUUUCCUCUCAUAUUUUAAAAUCUCCUACUGUUAAAUAUUUAAAUGUAACUUCUUGUAUAUAUUGUUGUAUAUUGGGACAAGGUUGUCAAAUUUUCUCGAGCAAAUACAUUUUUUUAAUAUUCUCUGUGUCCCAAUAUAUAUAACAAGUUACAGAAUCAUUAAAAUAAACAAAAGUUUUAAAAAAUUUACUAGUAGUAUUCAGAAACGUAACUCUGACGGUUUAAUCUUGGACCUUUUGGAUGGUGUGUUGUCUUGAUAAAAUUAAGAAUAUUCAUUUGAUAUUCAUUUGUGACAAACCAGAAUUCCAGAUGUCCAGUUAAUUUAUGAAAAAAAUAAGUGCCUUUGUCUUUGAACAUUACGUGUUUCAUAAGGUAUUGAUCACUUUCAACGGCUUGUAAUUGGGUAUAAUAAACUCUUUUUUUAUCUUCUUCUCCUUCGUUGUUUUUUUCUCUUUUCCUUUGCUACUAUCGUUGUGAUUGAAACUUUUUGUUGUCGUGAUCAUUAAUUAGUGUCACAAGAGAAUUGUUUCAUUGAUUUGAUGUAGGUUGGUUGCAUGAGACAAGCAGGAUACCCUUUAAAGGUCAUAAUUGAUACAACAAAUAUUUGUUUUGGGCAUAUAAUAUACUGUUUUGAAGUUUGAGAAGAGACAAAGCAAACCCGGAAUGGUUUGCACAGUUUUGCCACAUGGUCAAAUCAAAAAUUUUAUUUUCCUCCUGUCAUUUUUCAGUUUUAAGAUAUUUUUCUUUUUUUUAAGAUUUGUAUUUUUCUCUAGAUGUCUAAUUUGAGAGUCGUUUGUUUUGUAUUUCUUGUUUAGAUUAAGAGAAUCUUAUUAUAAAAUAAUAUUUCAGAUUUGCUUAUUUUAAUAAAUUCGCGAUAAUUUAGGGUUAUUAUAUAAUGAGACCCAAAACCCUAGUUUUGUUAAUUUAGACUUUUUCAAUAAAACUUUUAUUAUUCAGAAAUUUUGAUUCUUCUAUCAAUCAACUUUAAGCGUUUCUGCAUCGUCAAUUCACUUCUAUUUAUUUCAUCUAAUCCAUAAAGUUAAAUUACAACAUAUAUAACAUGAACUCCAUGCAUGGGCUUUAAUGGCGGAACUCGGAAAAUUUUCAGGGGCCAAAUCUUUAGUGGCGUAAGCAAUAUGCGUAAAUUGUGCACAUAGGGUAUUGAAGAAAUACCAUAGCAGAUAAAAUAUUCAUGCUCAAUUAGAUGGCUGUGAGUAUUAAUGGAAAAAAAAAAGGCCAAAACGAAAAAGCAACCAAAAAAAAAUCUAGGGGCCCUAGAUUUAUUAACAUCGGACUUUUAAAAAUUGCAUGGGCCUUGUCUAUUUAUUUUUUAUUUUAUUUUUGGUUAUUAUUAUUUAUUAACACUUUGACUUUAUUUCAGAUUAACAGUUAUAUUUUUUUUCCUAUAUAUAACGGUUAUGUAUCACGAGUGCAUAGGCUAAAUUAGUCUUUUUAAUCUAAUUUUUCAUAUUUUAUUCAGAAAUUCCAAAAAAUUUCCAAACUCUGCCAGAGGCAUGACCCCUCUAACCUUAUAAAGCUCCACUGCUAGCUUCAAUUGAUUAUCAUCUUUUGCAUUCUCUGCUUAAUAUCUAGACAUCCUUUAGCCCUCUAUGAUAAAGCAUUGACCAUGUAUUUUUCAAUCAUCUUUCUUUUACUGGCCACUCGAGUUGAAAUCCUAGAGAGAUAUAUGCUAAGAAAUUAAUUUGAAAUUUACCCAGCCCUGUCUUUUAAAUAAACUAAAAAAAAAACUUUAGGUCUCUACAAAAUAUAUUUUCAAGUUUACAUGGAUUAACAAGCUUUAGGAAUGAUAGUAGGAUAGGGUACGGGUGGAGAGGCCUCCUCCAUUCUUGAACCAAUUAAAAAUUUAGCCCUCAUUCCCCAAUGGAUUUAAUGGGGUUGGGUGAAUCUCUAUGUACGGAAUAGUUUAUCCAUCCCCGCCUUAUUCUCCAUUUAUCUACUUUAUAGUAGAUUUUUAAAUAUAAAUUUCAUGAAAUAAAAAUUAAAAUGACUCAAAUAAAACCAUCACUUACAUUGUAAAGUAUUUAAAAUUAUUAAUAGUAAAUCAUGUUCAAUUUAUUGGAACAAUAUCUUGAAUCACAUAAAAAUGUAAAAUAUUUGAAUAAAUAACAAAAAAAUUUGGAGCCUACCUUUGAGCUCCUGCAUCAAUUCAACAAAAGAGAUAAAAUCCCCUAUAUAUGGCACUACAAGAAAAAGUACCUACUAUGACAGUCCUCUGUGUAACAGUUUUUGGUCUGGAGGCCUACAACAAUAUGAAAUACAAGUGUGCAACCCAAGAGGUGGGGUGAAUUGGAUUUUUAAAAAUUAACCUAAGCAAACCACACAACAAUUUAAUCUAAUGCCUUAAUGGAAUCAAAAACAAUAAAUUCAAUAAAGCACAAUAAUAAGAGAGUAAGGGAAGAGAAAAUAAACACAAUGAUUUUUACGUGGUUCGGCAAUCACCGCUUACGUCCACGCCUCCAAGCUCACCCAGCUUGAUGAUUUCACUAUCCAAGCCUCCCAAGGCUUCAAAUGCUUACAAUUGACUUUCAAGGUAUCAAUCAACCUUUUCACCAAGAGAUUAUCCACAUUCUCUUAACUCAAGUGUAUCCCAACACUUACAAUCACUCAAAACAAAUAUUACAAAUGUGUUUUUUCCUCACACAAAAUAUAUGAUUACAAAUCCAUACUCAAUGUGUGAAUAAAUGAAUCAAGAACAAAUUUAAAGCUUAAUGAAUGUUGUAUUCUCGCUUACAAACUCAAUGAUAAUGUUGUGAUCUACAUUUCUUUGAAUUUGAUUGAGCUUAUUUAUAGUUGGAGCUGAAAACUAGCCGUUAUUGACUUUCUGUUCGAAGUCGGAUUGCCGUUAACUCAAAGUCAGAUCGCUGUUUUGAAUGGUCUAAGUUACCAUUAGAUAGAAUUUCAAAUUGUUAGAUCGCCGUUUUCAAGAUGUCGGCUCGUCGUUAGUGUCCAGAGGCUAAUAUUUCAAUUCUGUGCAAUGUCGAUUAGCCGUUAUCUAGAUGUCGGAUCGUCGUUAGUGUCCAGAGGCUAAUCUUCAGCUCUGUUCGAUGUCGGCGAGCCGUUAUCAAGAUGUUGGAUCGCCGUUUUCUACAGUAACUGCUACAAUGAACUAUUUUGCAAAAUGACACUUUGACCCCAAAACUUUAUAUAACUGUACUAUGGCCCACAACGUUAUAACUUUUACAAAUAGGUCCAAUUUUAGAAUUUCUAAAUAAUACUUACUAUUUCCAAAACUUUUUAAAAUUAUGAUAUGGCCCAAAAUGCUAUGAAUACUUUUCAAAUAAAUUCUUCUCCAAAAUUUCAAGCAAUACUUGUUGAUUUCAAAGUUUUCAAAACUUUUUCAAUUAAACCAUCAACUUGAAAAACAACUAAUUUCAUAAAAUCAUUUUUUCAUUAAAUAUAAAACCUUUAAAAUGUGAAAAUAAUGAUUUAUUUAAAAUGUAUAAAAAUAAUUUGAGCUUUUAAAAACUUAAUCAUUCUUAAUUUUGUUUGUUAUCAUCAAAAUCAACCUUAUGAAUACAUAAAUGUUAACACAAUAAAAUCAUGAUCGAUUUACUUUCUGUCAUACACUUAUGACAUAGCUGUGAUAGAAAUAUCAUUUAUCAAGAAAUUAUGAUAUAUUGGUGAUAUAAAUAUCAUAUAUCAAGAAAUUAUAAUAGACUAGUGAUAAAUUAUUUGGCUAUCAAGAAUGAAAGACUGAUUUUUUAUUUUGACUUUAAUUGCGUGGGUUUGACUUAAUUUUUAAAAAUAUUAUAUUACUAAAAAAAGAAGUGAAACGAUGUCGUCUCAGUUGUAUGCCAAAUUAAAAAACAUUAUGUUUUGCAAGUGUUUGAGGAAAACCAGAAACGUAAAUAACAAAAAAUAAUAAUAAAAUGUUGUGUUUUGUAAAGGGGGGAAACAAUUUUGUGAGAAAAGAGGCAAAAAUUUUUCUAAGUGUUUAGAAAAUUUGCAAGCGUCAUUGUGGAAUCUCAAAAUCGAUUAGCACACUUGUAGCAAACCCUCAAAGGCCGGCCAUAGCAAACUAACGACACCCAAACACCCAUCGUUUCAAAAUCGUUUUGGUUGUUUCAUUGAAUCGUCUCUCUUUACUGCAGUUGUCACUGAACCAUCUCUCUUUGUUGGGACGAAGUCAGUGCUAAUCGAAACCCAAAUUGGAAUGAGAACAACAUACAUGGUACUUUUAUUGACUGAAAGAAACCCAAUCGCUUACCAUGAAAGAAGACCCAAAUCAUUGUUGCCGAAGUUGAAACCCUAGGCUUGACGGUGAAUUGAAGCUUCACACCAACUAGUGAGUCGUUUCUACAUUUGCAUGUAUUUAAUUUUGACUAUUUAUUCAACUUUUAUGUAAAGUAGUAAAUAAUUUGUAAAAAAAUGAAAUGUAUUUGCAUGUAUUGCAUAUAUUGCAUAUAUUUCGGUAAUCAAUUUACUAAAUAAUUUCCUAGGAAGAUAGUCUUUAAAAAUAUUUUGAGUUCUGUUUUAAGUUGUAAUCGUGCAUUGCAUAAUGUUGUUAAUUUUUUUUAUUCUAGGUAAUUCUGAUUUAUAUUCAUGUGUCUGUGUGUGAUUUUUUUUUCUAGCUAUUUCUGAUAUUGAAGCUUUGUUAAGUUAAAUGAGUGUUAGUGUAUGAAGAUGGUGAUAAUCUGCAACUUAUAUAUCUUUAUGUUCUAAUAGUUGAUUCUUUAAAUAUUGGCCUAAAAUGUCUAUAACAAAGCCUGAGGAGGGAUUCGUAGUAAUUGAUUCUAUUAUGUAAAAUUGAGGGAUUCUCACAUCUCAUUGUCAUCUACCUAUGCAUGAGGUGUUGUAGCUAUUUUGCAUCUACUGGUAUUGUUGUUACUAUUGUUGUCUUCAGUCGUAACAUUUGCGUGUCAAAUAUAAAUAGUUGUGAUUGCUGCAUAAACGUGACAGUUCGAUGUUCUUGAUUUGUUGAAGGCUUUGUAUGAAGGUACUUGAAGCUUUCUUUGUGUUUGCUUUCAUUUUUGUUCUACUGAUGUAUAUUAUUUGAAGUUGUAGUUUAUUAUUUCUUCUUAGGCUUACUCAUAUGAUUAAUGUAAUUUCUUGGUACCUUUUUAGCCCUCUUGAAUCCAAGUUUUGGAAUUCUAUCAACUGAUCAUUCAAAAUAUAUUUCAGUAAUAAAUAUUGUUGUUGGAUUUGUACCUGGAAUUGGAUAUAGCAGCAAAUUGUUGUGUUUAAUCUGGUAAGUUCCAUUUCUUAUCCUCUAUUAUUUGACUUUUUGAAGUUGUUAUGCACUUGCUUAAAAUUUACAUAUCUUUAAAUUUAUAAUUAUGAUACUAUGUAAUGUGUUUGUUGUGGGGCCUAUCUUAUUUAUUAUAUUUAUAGUAUAAUAGGAGAGUGAACUUUUGAAAAGUAUGAAUUUCAAUUUAUCAGCUUUCUUGGUUACUAUAUUUGUAAUUUUGAAAUUUGUUUCUGGACCAUGACCAUGCUUUUCCGUAAAGUAGGUUGUUUCUUUAAUAUAAAAGAGAAAACUAUAUAGGCCAAAUUGUGUUUAAUUUGAAAGGCCUCAUGUAGGUUUAACUUUGUUUAUUUCACAUGGUGUUGUAACAUUAGACAAAUAUUCUAAGUAUGUACAUUCUUUCUUUGUUUUAUGUAUAUGUCAGGAACAUUAAUUAUUAAGCCAAAAAUGGAUAAAUCUUGGAUUCAAUGUAAUCGACUGUCGACUGAAUAUGAAGAGGGUGUCGAGAAAUUUAUAAAUUUUGUUAUAAAAAAUGCUGGAGGCAGUAGUGUCAUUAGGUGUCCAUGCCUUGAUUGUUAGAAUUUAUCAUUUGAAACACCUACAACUGUAAAAGAUCAUUUAUAUAUGCAUGGUUUUGAUGUGAAAUACGACAAUUGCUUUUGGCAUGGGGAAGAGAUUCGUAAGAGUCCUUCUCCUCAAAGAGAAAACCAUUUUCAGCAAUAAAAUAUAGAGUUUGACAAUGAUAAUGAGUUAGAAAUAGUUAAUGAUGCUUAUAAGGGUUGUUGUGGGGACCCUAAGGCAUUCAAAGAGUUGCUAAAAAAAACUGAGAAACCCUAAUACCUAGGAUGCACAAAAUUUGCUAAGUUAUCCUUUUUAGUGAAAUUGUUCAAUGUGAAGGGUAGAUUUGGGUGGUCUGACAGUAGCUUUUCUGCAUUGUUGAAUGUUUUAGCAGAUGCUUUCCAUGAAAAAUAAUGAAAUUCCAACCUAUAUGUAUGAGGCCAAAAAGACAAUGUCAGCUUUGGGCUUAGAAUAUGUUAAAAUUCAUACUUGUCCAAACGAUUGCAUACUCUACAGAAAAGAGUAUGAAGGUUUUUUUGAAUGUCCUACUUGUGGGUUACGUAGAUGGAAGAAAAAAGAUGGUAUUGUAGACUAAUAUAGGAAAGCGGUUCCUACAAAAACUUUAUGGUAUUUUCCUCUUAUACCUAGGUUUAAGCGCAUGUUUUAGUCAUCAGAAACUGCUAGGGACUUGACUUGGCAUGCAAAUGAGAGAAUGGUUGAUAGUAAACUCCGACAUUCGGCUGACUUACCAUCUUGGAAGUUAGUAUAUGAGAAAUGGCCGAUCUUUGCAUCUGAUCCUAGAAACCUUCGCCUAGCUCUAUCAGCUGAUAAAAUCAAUCCACAUAGCUCUCUUAGUAGUACAUAUAGCUGCUGGCCAAUAAUUCUUAUUACUUAUAAUCUUCCACUAUGGUUAUGCAUGAAACGAAAAUUCAUGAUGUUGUCCCUCUUGAUUUCUGGUCCUCAACAACCGGGUUUAUACAUUUAUGUGUAUUUGCAACCUCUUAUUGAGGAUUUGCAAACUUUAUGGGAUGUUGGGGUGGAGGCAUAUGAUGCCUACAAAAAUGAGUACUUUAAUUUGCGGGCUGUAUUACUAUAGACAAUAAAUGACUUCCCGGCAUAUAAAAAUUUAGUAGGAUGUACUGUUAAAGGAUAUUAUGCCUGCCCAUAUUGUGGUGUAGAAAUACCAAAAUGUAGACUUAAACACAGUGGAAAAAAUGUAUACAUUGGGCAUCGCCUUUGGCUUCCUCAUGGUCAUAAAUUUCGGUUCCAAGCAAAAACCUUUAACAAUAGUGUGUGUGAUGAAACCCCUCCAAAACUGUUAAACGGUGAGGAAAUUUUCCAGCUGGUCAACUCUAUUGAUAAUAGAUGAGGGAAAAGCAAUAGUAAAAAGCAUAAAAGUGAGAACAAUGAUGAUCUCGUGUGGUGGAAGAAGAAAUCCAUAUUUUAUAAUUUAGAGUAUUGGAAGCACUUGCUUGUGUGGCAUCAAUUAGAUGUUAUGCACAUUGAAAAGAAUGUGUAUGAAAACAUCUACGGUACACUGCUACAUAUUCCUGGAAAGUCCAAAGAUGAACUGAAGUCGAGGAUGAAUCUCUUGGAAAUGAAAUAUAAGCCCAAAUUAGCACCACAAGUUAAGGGAAACAACAAUCGUACAUGGCUUCCUCCUGCUUGCCACACCUUAACUAAGGAGGGAAAAACCUUAAUGAAGAAGAAGUGGACAGGAGUGUUCUUUGGAAGAGAGCUCGGCAAAUGAAAAAUAGAGGAUACCACCCUGAUUUUGAACCAGUUAUUAAAAAAAUCGUAAGAAAUUUUUUGCUUACUACUGUAAUUUUAGAUGUGAUUACUUAUACUUUGAUAACAUUAACUUACUUAAUUCAUUGGUGUGGUAGGAUAACUGGAGAUGGAAGCUAAAAAAGGAAAGAUGCGGCCAUCCGGAAAAAAUGAUAUUCUCACACAAUCUUUGGGAAAAGCUCCAAAAUGUGGUCAUAUGCAAGGAGUGGGCAAGUUUGUAACCCUGUCUCUGUAUUUUCAAACUUGCCAGAGGCCUGCUGAUAGAGACAGGCAAAGAGAGAACCGUCUAUGGAGGGAAUCAAUUAACCGGCAGUUGGAAGAAAUAAGAAAAACACAUCGUCAUUCAGAUAUAGCAAGUUCCAGCUACCCUCGCGUGCCUGUUGAAAACAAUAAUGCUGUCGGAGAUGAUGGCCUAGAGUCCGUUCAAGCUGAAGCAGUUGCUGAAACACCAAAGGUCAGUUUGUUUACUAUUUUACUUAUUAUUUCUGGAUUUAUUUUGUUGCAAUUUUACUUCUUCUACUUAACUGUAUAUACUUGUUGAUGGAUAAGGGUUGCUGUAGUUACUGUUCUUACCUGUUGUUUGUGGAUUUAGUUUGCUGUAUGUUUACUAUUUAUACAUAUGUUGUUUCUGGAUUUUCUUUGAUACUGUUAACUACUUUGUAAGAUAAAUUUAGAGUAUUUAGAAACUACUUAUGCCAAUCACACUGAACAAUUAUGUUUGUAGUAGCUUGAUCAUUUGAAAAAAAAAAGAAGCAAGGGACACCUAAAAACACAGUAGAUAUGAACUUGCCAAUAGUAAACUGUAAGAAAGAGACAAACAUAGCAAACAAAAACAAGGAUACACCUGCCAAAAAACUCGCUGUCAUUGCAAGAAAGAGUCCAAGAUUGAACCCAACUGAAAUCUCAGUGGAGAUGCCUGAUGAUUUGUUACAAGGAAAAAAAAAUGGCAACCCUAAAUAUCAAGGCACAAAAAAACAUUUAAACUUUAAAUCAGUAGAACAACAUAAUGAUAUAAUAAAGAUAAGACAUACAAAUGCUGUAAACACAGACCAAGGACGAGGGCAAAAAAGUUACAGUGAAGCCUUUGCCAGCAAGGAGGAACACAAGGCAUGCAGGAGGGGUACAACGAAACAAGAUUCCGUUGCUGCAGUUGUUUGGCAUAAUGUGUAAAGCUAAGAUGUCAGACCAAGAAUGGAUUCCAUAUCUACUGGAUGAUGUUGUUUUCCAAUUGGAAGGGAUUAGAGCUCAUAUUGGGCGGCGUGACUGCAGUGCAGUUCUGUCAAUGGAUGCUAUAAGAGUAAACGUAAUCGAAGUCUAUAUUGCGUAAGUGAUUUAUAAUCAUUCUAGUUUUAUGUGUACUUUUUAUAGGAGUCCCAAUUAAUGGACUUUAACAUUGUUUGUCUUUUGUUUAUCAGGAUGUUGUAUGCUUCCAUUCUCCAUGGGAAAAGAGGAGUCAAACUAUUUGGAUUCAUCCAUCCAGGUCUAGUUUCACUAGGCGAAGAACGUAAUACUACUGCAUCAUUUGACCUUAAGGCAUGUGGAGUUUGUGAUCGGUUGAAAAAAAUGAAGAAGUGACAAUUCAUCUUUAUGCCUUAUAAUCCCUAGUAUGCUCCUUUAAUACUUUUCAACUCAUAUUAAUUUCCUUUCUUACCUUAAUUUACUGAAAUUGCUACCUUAAUGUUCUUUAUUUUAUUAUAGUUAUCAUUGGGUGCUGGUCAUCUUUGAAGUGUUGAAAAAAGAAGUUUAUUAUCUCGAUUCUUAUGGGGGAGAUCCUUAUGAUGAUUUAAAAGAGCUCAUUAAAGUGUAUGUUCAAUUUUUUUUUAUUACCAUUGUCAAUAUGAAAUUACUUUUACAUAGUUUACAGAUACUUUGUUACAAUUUUUUUUUUUUUUUUGUAUACAACUCUAUGACAAUGUUUAUAGCACAAGAAGAUUAAGAGAAAUGAAAUUAUAAUAAGAUGGUCAGAUCUGUAAAGGUAAAAAGUAUUACCUUAACUAUAAUUAUAUAUUACCAUGCUUAAUUGUUAUUAUAAUGAACUGUGCAAUUGUUGAUUGUGAACAGGUCCCACAGCAACCAGCAAGUUCAGUCGUGUGUGGAUUUUAUGUCAUGAGAUUCAUAAAAGACUUAAUUAAUGACUUCUCUUUGCUAAUGAACAAUGUGAGUUCCUUGAUCAUAAUUUUCUUUAUAAAAAAGAACAUGUCAUGUGUUAAAGUUUCACUACAUAAUAUUUAUUUUUCAUAAACAGUUCAACGGAAAGACAACAUAUUCCGAUGCUGAAUUAGAUGAAGUCCGUAUUGAGUGGGCAAACCAUUUUUCUGGAGUACUUGUUAUGUGAGGUAACCCUUACCUAUUAUGUUGUUAUUGUGAGUUCAUUGAUGAAAUAAAUUAAUUUACUAGCUAUAUUUUACUUAGGCAGUUAUCUAGCUUAUUAUACUUCUAUGUUGCAUUAUGAUGAAGAUGGUGGGUACUGCUGGAGUUGACUAGUUUUUUUCUUUGUUUGGAAAAUAGCUCCUGGAUAUUGAUGCAAUUUUACACAUUUCGGUUGUUCUUAGGUUGGAUUUUCACGUUUGGGAACUGCUAACCUUGUCUGAUCAAUAUGUUUGGCUUCUUCUUGUGUUACUGGAAAUGUUGCUAGAAAUGAACUAUGUUGUUGCCUUUCUUCAUGUUGGUAGAAAUGACUCUGUUGUUGGCUUCCUUAUGCUACUGGAAUGGAACUGAUCAUGGUUCAUUGGUGUUAUACAUGUUGCUUGAAUUUAGUUUUUAUAUUGUUAUAAUACUCCUCUUCUAUUUAUGUUGGACUUGUCACUCUCAAAUUUGAUUAAAUUAUGUUUGCUGACAAUUAUGAAUAAUUAGUCAAUGUUAUCCAUUUCAUUUUCUUUGUCAGUGAUUUUUAAUUGCAAUAUUAAUUUUAAUAAUCUAAUUAAUUAGCUAAUUUAUGAUAUAUUAAUUUCUAAUAAAUCAAUUACAGGAUUGUUAUUAAAAUGAUAAUAUUUUCAUGGUGCAAACAAAAUACCCAAUUUUUAUUAAUUAUAAUUUCAAUUUUUGAUUUAAUUGAAAAUUUUCAUUUAAUUAUAAUUUGCAUUUCGUGACAAAUUUAAUUUUCCGGCCAAAAAUUCAAAAUAUGGCGCACAAAUUUUUUUAAAAAAGAGCCAAAUUCAAAUUUAUUAUAUUCCCCUCUAAAUAAAGUUAUGACAGUUAUGUGACUGGUAAUAUCUAUCACAUAUUAUGACUAAUAUUGUUCUGUCAUCAAUUCUUGACGCUGGCUACAAUGACGGUAUGAACAACCGUCAUCCACCCCUACUAUGAUAGUUUUUGCCUGCAUAGUAGGCAUUUUUUCUUGUAGUGUGGGGAUUAGGGUGGGAGUGGGAUGAGAAGUACAAAACUAAGGCCACCUCAUUAAGGAUUUGAGGAUUAUGUUUCCUGGCCUAUUCCCCAUAAACUUAUCAAAAUUUAUCUCAUUUAGAAUGUGCCCCUUGGAGUCCCAAACGUAUAGAGAAUUUUGCCUCCCAUAGCAAGCUUAGUAUGCUGGUUACAAUACUCAAGAUUAACCGUUGAUUAUUCAUCACUAUGUCUAUUAUUACAUACGACCUCAUAUCUAUUAUGAGUGUAUACUAGAAACAUAAAAUGACAUAUUGACUCUUAUACGUACCUCAUUGUAGUUGCUUAACGUCUAGUAACAGUAGCGAAAUGUACAUCAAUACAUCAGUUUCCACUGUUAUGAGUGUACAUUGUUUUUGCGAAACAAAAAAUAUUGGCUGCUCGGUGUGUAGAAUUCUUGCCAUUGGUGUAUGGAUUUCUUGUAAAAUAUUGGUUUGUGCUCAAUGUAUAUUUAUUUCUCAUUAGGCGGUUGGUGGAAAAAUUAUCAAAUCUCUUACUGAUAAAAUAAAUUUUUUACGUCUUUUAUUAUUUAACCCCUAAAAAUUUUAUUGAUCAAAAGUUGGUGGGUUUUUAAUGAUAUCAGGAAUAAUAUAAUAAAAGACACAAAAUUUUGAAAUUUGACAAUGUCUUUUUAACAUCUUAUGAUCUACAUUGUUUUAAAAAAGUAGGGGAAAUAAUUAUUUUUCUCAAACAAUAGGGAGAUUUUGAUCAUUUCUCUCAUUGCUAGUUGAGAUGUAAAUGUAGAGGACUAAAGAGUGUGUGUAUUUAUGCUGCGAGCGCCUUUAUUUUUUUUUUUAACACGAACAAAUUGUUAAGCUAUGGAGUUUAAUAACAUUAAAAACUGACUCUAUUAAACCUCAUAUCUUAAAAGCCUAUCCGCAUAAAAAAAUAAUAAUAGGGUGUCCGCACUAGAGAAUGACUAUAUAUAUAUAUAUAUUCAAAUAUAGUUGUUAAAUUUUAAUUUUGUCAAGCAAACACAUUUUUUUUUAAUAUUCUUUUCUUUUCUUUCUCAAUAUAUAACAAGUUAUAUCACUACAAUAAAUAUUAUCUUUUACAACCAAUCAAAAAUGAUGCGAAAACACAAUUACAACAUUUAUAAAAAUGUCCUAACGAAGGAUGCAGUAAAUAACAUCAAACUUUUGUAGCCUUUUUCAGCUGCAGUAAGAAACACUGCAUAAAAUGCAGUUUUCUAGGCCAUUUGCUAUAAGAGUAAAUUGCUGCAAAAAUUAGUAAAUAAAUAUGGAAAUCUGCUGCCAGUAAAAUUGAUAACAGUUCAAUCAAUUAAGAAUAAUCUCCAUAAAAUCAUUUGAACGUGGCAUCCAUACAACAAAAGUUUAGUUGAAGAUUGUUAAAUCUCUACACUAAAUAUAAUACUCAAAGUGUAAACUGAAACUCUUGCCCAGGUUAAUGUUUUUUUCCCUUGACUUGUAAGAUUCAAGUAUAUGUAUGAACAAAAUUAGAAACUAUAAGCCUACUCCAACAAGAUGUUCCUCAAAUAGUUUUUUGAGAUCUUUUAGUUCCAUUUUAAUUUGUGCAGUAUGAGACUUGCUAAGUGCUUCUAAAUUCAUCAUCGUUGGUGUAACUCCAAAUCCAGCUCCUCGUAUACGCCCAUUACGUUCUUUUCCUAUCACAUGGGUCAGAGCAUCAUCGUGAAUUGUUGAGGCAUCUUCACUCACAUGUGUCCUCUGAUAUUCAUUAAUUGUUUUUGAAUCCAUGGAGAAUUUUGAUUGUUAAUAGCAAAAAAAUAAGAAUAAAGAACUAAAAAAUCAUAAAGAAUUUAUCACCAGUUUUUUAGCAACAUCCUCAUUAAUUGUAGUCCUGUCCUUCUUAGUAUGUGCACGAAUCCACACAUCAACUCUAGUUAUCGGUGAGUUUGGUCUCUCUUGCAUCUAAAAUAUGUAGUGGAGAACAUUUUAUUACUCAUCUAAUUUUUUGUGUAAUAAUAAAUAAACUUAAUGAUAUGAUUUUUCUAACCAUUUCAUGUCUUAAACGAGCCAUCCCUUUUCGACUUGUCCUGUGGAUGUUAGUUUGUUUUGAUCUCAUUUUUUUAAACCUCUUACUCUUCAACUAUAGUAAGAAGAUAUGUUAGAUUAAUGACACUAUUCUUGUACACUAAUAAGAAAUUAUACUUGUACAUUAAUUGGGAAAGAAACUUACUUUAAACCUUUACCAUUGUUGCUCAGAUUUAAUGUUCCUUGGUCUCAAGUCUUUCAAUGCCUCAAGCUUUCUUGUUACAUCAUUGCUUUUAACCAAUGCUCUGAUUUUAUGUGUUAAAACUGAUUUGUAAUUCCUCCAGCUCCUACCCAUUGCACUCAUUAUAUAUCUUCUAUGACUUCCAUCAACAUUAAAUUGUUGCUGCAUUUAAAGGGAAAAUAACAUUAAUAAUUAAAUUUGAUAAGUUAAAUAAUAUUUACCACAAAAGUAGGAUGCUACCUUAACACAAGUCCAAAGUCUUUCUCUUAAGUCUGAUUCCACUCUAUGCCAACUAUCCAAGGUCAACGGUACCAUUUGUCGUACUAAAUAACCAAUAAAAGAAGAUAACCUAUUUGAAUUUCUACCAACGGGGUUAUUAUUGGUUGCUUCGAAUUGAGAUAAGUGGAUUCAUGCAUAACGUUUAUGAUAUAUAUGUACGAAUUUAUGUAUGAAAAAAAUAAUGUUGUUCAUAAGGAUUGGCAUAUUUAUAGUUUUGAAGUAUUUUGUUGUUAUAGUUUAUAAUAAUGAUUUACAUUUUGGUUUAAAGUUUAUUUAAAAUGUUUUCUUAAAUUGUUUUUAAAAAAAUGGCUUUAAAAUACUUGUGUUCCAUAAAUUGUUUUUCCUUAAAAAUUAUAUAACUUGUAAAGCUUUGCCAAUUAAAUUUCUUAUAAGAGACUUAAUUGAAUGAUUGAUAUUGAAAGAUUGAAAAUUAUUUUAAGGUUUUGGCUCAUUGUCCUUAGUUACCAAUACUGAUAUGACUUAAUAGUUAACUGUAUUGUGUGCUCCUAUUGACGAUUAUUGCGGGGUAAAGUACCCUGAUUGAACUACCAACCGGCUCACCAAGAGUACAUGUGACACUAUGAGGCAUGAGCAAAAUUAAACAAAUGAAAGGUUGUAUUGACAAAUGAUUAUUUAUUGAAAAUGGUCAUUAUGUUAUGACAUUAUUGGUUAUAAAUUUUACUGUAUAAAUGUAUUAGAUUAUAAAAUGAUUACUGAUUCAUGGCACUUAAUAAUUAUUAUUAUGUACUUCAUCCUUAUUAGCAACCUUAUGUAUGAGUUUACUUACCAAGCUGACGGCUCAUCCCUUGUCUCCAACAUUUUGCAGAGUGAUGUUAGAGAUGGUUUUUAGAGAAAAGAUUUGUUAGCCGAAAGCUUUGGACAUUUUCGUGAUGGAUAAAUUGUUGCUAUUUUGGUUAUUAUUUUAGAGCUGAAUUUGGUAUUGGAGGAUUAUUGUUAUAUUUAUUAUUUUAGAGACUAUGUUUCGACCUUGGACAUUAUUGAUUUUCUUUUGGGAAUAGUAAUAAGAAUUAAUUGUUUAGAGAUUGCAUUCUAAAUUUCUUUUAGAAUUCUUGGGAAAAUUUGGGGUGUUACAAAACUAUUGCUCAAGAUUGUUCCAAAGCUCAUGAGAAAUUUUAAAGUUUAGCAUAAGACUGAGAAUUUCCAAACUGAUAGAGGACAUCAGCCAGCUCAGUAGCACUUGAUUCUUUCUCUUUUAGGCAGUGAAUGCUAGAUUUUCUUAUGUAACUUCCGCAGUGGAGUUGUUAGUUUCAUCAGGAAGAAACUGAUCUAGAUAGUGUUUGGAACUAUCAAGAAGAUCUUCAAGUCCAUUAGCACGAACUGAAGUGAGAGUUUGAGAUUUCCAUAUCAUGUAGUUUAAUAUAUCAAGCUUAACAAGUGAGGUAAAGGUGAAUGAGGAAACAGAGGACACUAUGUUUGGAUUUGAGCUUGAAGUAGCCAUAAGAGCUUAUACAUCUAGCUUUGAUACCAAGUUAAAGUUUGAGUUCUUGUCUGGUUAGUGAAAUGAGGGAAAAUUUAGAAAGUUGUGAAUUGAUUCAAUUAUAUUAAUACUGCUUCAUUAAAAUCCACUUUUCCAACCACAGACGCAACCAAUGAGAUACAUAACCAGUGAGCUAGAUGCAUAGAGUUGUAUGUUUUGGUGCAACUCUUUGUUAUGAUGUAUAAAAAAUCGCCAUCACAUUUCAAUUGUUUUCUAUGAAGCUAAUGAAAUUUUUGUCUGUCAAAGUAACCAUGUCGUUUUCAUUAAUAAGUGGUGGCAGUGUGGUGGCAGCGCCUUGUGGUUGGCCAAGCGGUGAGUAUCUCCAAGGUUUAGAACGACCGUGACAUAAACUUGACUGGGGGAUGACAAAUUAUAAUAUUGUUGAGUAAGAGGUGUGAAGGUGCUAAGGAUUUUGAUGAGAAGAAGAAAUGAAAGUAAGAGAAAUAGAAAUGAUUCUGCUCACUACAAGAAAAAUGUUAUUUUAUUACAAAAAAUUUCGUCAUUAAAGAUAACAAAUUAGUCAUCUUAUAUUUUUUAUGAUAAAAAAUAUAUCGUUACACGUUAGUCGUCGAAAGACUGUCUUAAAAACUUCUAGCGACCAGAAUUAUUUUCGUCAUAUUAAAGAUAUGUUUUUGUGACAAAAAUUAUUGUCUUAAAAUUAAGUUAAAAUUGUCACAAACAAUAUUAAAAAAGAUCGAAUUAGAUAUUCAAAAAAGCAAUUAAUGACACUUCAUAUUUGUCACAAUUGUUGAUUUAUAGUGACUAUAGUAUUUGUCUCAAGAGUAUGUAAAUAGAGUCUCAAUAAUUAUUAAAAAUUGUCAUUUUAGAGGUUUGGAUAUACAAUUAGCAAUGCUAUUUUUCUGUUAUUGAAGUUCACGCGGCAAUAUACAAUUGGUAAUUAAUUUAGUCUCAAAUUUGUUAUGAAGGCGGUUUAUAUAGUCUCACAUAAAUUUUAAUAACAAUAUGUAGUUAUAGAAAUCAAAAUUUAAUGACAAAAGAACUUUAAAGUGAAAAAUAUUAUUAACAUAAAUACAAUUCAUGACAAAGAAAUCUAAAAUCUAAAAUGUAAAAAAAAAAAAAAUUCAUGUCCAAAAAUAUGAUUACAUUGUAGAAGAAAAAUAAAAGUAACAUUACACAAACGGAGAGAUAUGUAAACCAUAGUUGUUUCAUGAAUUCUUCAACUUCCUUAGAUUUGCUAUUUUCUUCCUUGAUUUUAAUUUUUGAUUCUCGUUUUGUUGAGUCAAUGUUGUGGUAGAUGAUGACUUUAAAGGUACAUGUCAUUUUAAAUCUUUACAAAAUUAAAGAUUUUCCCCAAAACUAUUUAGCAAAUUUAAUCAUAUAUUACUUCAAAAUAAUAAUAUAAUCAAAAGAUUACAAGCACAUAAUCAUCCUCGAUUCACUUGCACAAAUUUUACAUCCAAAACUCUUUAAAUUAAUCUAUCAAAUAGUUGGAGUCAAACUUGAACCAAAUUAAACUAUUAAGCAGUCAAUGAAUCAAUAUUUAUAAUAAAUAUAAAAUUGAAAGAAAUAAGAGAUUGAGUAAAUAAUAAUAAUAAUAAUAAUAAUAAUAAUAAUAAUAAUAAUAAUCAUCAUCAUCAUCAUCCUCCUCAUAAGAUAGCUUACACAUUUAGAUUUUGUAUGGAAACUACUUGAACCUUUUACGCUCACUUUAAUACAUCUUCUGAAACAAAGUAAUCUGGGAGAGACUCCACAUAAAAGAAGAUAAAUACAUUAAUUUUAAUUAAACAUACAACAACCACAUUAGGGGAAAAAAACCAAGGCUUGUUGACCUUUAUUAGUUUAUUUAAUCACUUCAUAUAUGUUUCCUGGGAAAUUCAACAACAUUUUGAGCAAAUUGUACCAACCCAAGCUUCAACACCAUCCUGCGAACCAACAUAUCAAGCUUCAUAAUAUUUGAUAGUUAAGAUUUUGUUCUAUAACUCUAACUUAUAAUUAUUGGUUGGACUUGAAUAACUUAUUAACUCUUUUUCAUUAUAUUAAUACUAGCUAAAAUUUUCUUUAAAAAUUAAAGAAAGAUGAUUAAUUACAUACCAAGAUGAAGUGAACGAUAAUAGAAAUAUCCCAAUUUUCUAAGUUCUUACGAAGAAUUUUUUUGGUUGUUUUGGUGUUUGGCGGGGGGGGGAGNNNNNNNNNNNNNNNNNNNNNNNNNNNNNNNNNNNNNNNNNNNNNNNNNNNNNNNNNNNNNNNNNNNNNNNNNNNNNNNNNNNNNNNNNNNNNNNNNNNNNNNNNNNNNNNNNNNNNNNNNNNNNNNNNNNNNNNNNNNNNNNNNNNNNNNNNNNNNNNNNNNNNNNNNNNNNNNNNNNNNNNNNNNNNNNNNNNNNNNNNNNNNNNNNNNNNNNNNNNNNNNNNNNNNNNNNNNNNNNNNNNNNNNNNNNNNNNNNNNNNNNNNNNNNNNNNNNNNNNNNNNNNNNNNNNNNNNNNNNNNNNNNNNNNNNNNNNNNNNNNNNNNNNNNNNNNNNNNNNNNNNNNNNNNNNNNNNNNNNNNNNNNNNNNNNNNNNNNNNNNNNNNNNNNNNNNNNNNNNNNNNNNNNNNNNNNNNNNNNNNNNNNNNNNNNNNNNNNNNNNNNNNNNNNNNNNNNNNNNNNNNNNNNNNNNNNNNNNNNNNNNNNNNNNNNNNNNNNNNNNNNNNNNNNNNNNNNNNNNNNNNNNNNNNNNNNNNNNNNNNNNNNNNNNNNNNNNNNNNNNNNNNNNNNNNNNNNNNNNNNNNNNNNNNNNNNNNNNNNNNNNNNNNNNNNNNNNNNNNNNNNNNNNNNNNNNNNNNNNNNNNNNNNNNNNNNNNNNNNNNNNNNNNNNNNNNNNNNNNNNNNNNNNNNNNNNNNNNNNNNNNNNNNNNNNNNNNNNNNNNNNNNNNNNNNNNNNNNNNNNNNNNNNNNNNNNNNNNNNNNNNNNNNNNNNNNNNNNNNNNNNNNNNNNNNNNNNNNNNNNNNNNNNNNNNNAUCAAAAGCGACGUGCUAAAGGAGGGACAGCGCUGCUACCUCUGCAAAAGUGAAGGACAUUGUCCCAAGGACAAUGGUCCCUAGCCGCCUACCCGACAGAUACUGCAGAGGUACCCUGAACACUCUCCAGCGCACGCCACGUUUCCAAAAGAUGAGAUACGCCGCGAACAUGCAAAUAACGGCCCAAAAACAAUUAUAAAGAGGUAAAAGGACGUUAGCCAAAAAGGGUAUGCCACGUGGCAGCUGAGGUACUCCAUAUAUAAAGGUGCCUAGGUUUCAUUCUCCAUCAUGUUCUCACUCACCAUUAACACUCACACUCCGAAAAUAGAGGUUUUCUUCAACCUUAAACCCUAAAUUUACAGAGGGCUGGCCAGCUCUCUUUACCAUAAAAGCUUGAGUUUGCUAACUUGAGCGUCGGAGUGUGAAGCCGGGGUACCCCGGCUUCACCUCUAACCUCAAUUUCACUUUUUGCAGGCGUGAAGCUCAUUUGGAAGGACACCUCUCUUGUUUCUGACAUUCCACCAUUGUUACUACUCUCUCUCUCCCCUUCUCACCUCCCCCGGAUUUUAGAUACACCACACCGCACACAACAAACCAGUGAGGUACCCCAUCUCCCCCAAAAAUAUAAAUUUAUUGUUCUAGACUGGUUUGGCUUUUCUUACCCCAAAAUCAGUUGAAAACAAUAGGUAAAGACGACUAUUUGUUAAACUAAUCUUGAAAUAAUCAUUCACACACACCAGCAAUUGGAAGAGGGGUUGGGGUGUUGGGAAGAUAACGUUGGGUAGUUUUGAACGUGAAGUGGCCACUUAAUGUGUCUCUGAAAAUUUAGGUUUUAUUUAAGUUUUAUUUUUUCUAAUAUAUAUAUCCAACUUAAAUAACUAUUAUAAGGUCCUUCUAAAAAUAAAAAAGAAGCAAUUAUAAGGUUAUUAUCAAUGGUUUGAAGAAAAAAAAGUCAAUCAUCAUUUUUUAUUAAUCCAAGUUAAUUAUUUUUAGGCUAUUAUUUUAAUUUUUAUUAAUCUAGCAUUGUUAACCAAAAUUUGUAUGAAGCUAAACAAUAAUGUCUCUCUGAAAAAGAAAAAAUAUCAAUUAUUAUUCUCUUUUUUUUUUAGUGACGUAAUUUUCGUCAUAAAAAAAUUAAUCAGAUACUAAAUAAUUUGUCUCUGAAAAAAUGGUCAUGAAAUACAAUAUUACUCAAGACAAAAUUUUAGACUAUUAUUUUUUAGUUUUGUUACAGUAAGUAAUUAUCUAUGACAAAAAAAAAGGGUCUUAAAAUUAAUCAAAUCCAUAUUAGUUUUGGAGACUAAUAUUUUUCUGUCACAAAUUAUUUGAUCAAUUUCACAUCUCUUCUUCAGUUACGAAAUAAUAAUGUCACCUAUAAUUAAAUUUUGCUACCGUAUUUUUUUAUCAUAAAAGAUGAUAUUUUGUCAGAAAAUGGUCAAUUUUGGAGGGAAGUUUUUAAGCAAAAAAAAUGCAUGUCCUUUUGCGACUAAUUUUAUGUUUGUCGUAAAAUAUUUGAUUAGGUGACAAAUUACUGGGUCGUAAAAUAAAUAUUAUUGAUUACAAAAUAUAACAUAAGCCAAGAUGAGAUUAUUGGCUACGGUUUUAAAAAACAAUCGUCAUAAUAAAUACUAUUUUAUGACAAAAGCUGUAAAAGUCAUAGAAGAAGGCAUCUUAAAAACUCAAAUUUCUUGUAGUGGCUGUUGUCAUUUAGUUAUUGCUUUUUAUGAUAUUCAAAAAAGUGUUGAGAAAGAUGAUCAUGUUCUCUGAAGAUAAAAUCUAAGUAUUCGCCCUACUUCUUGCCUUUGAUAACAUGAAAUCUUGUAUGAAGUGAAUUGUUGCUUGAUAAAGUUAAGGAUACCAUCCGACAAUGAUAUGCUUACAAAAAGUAGUAUAAAAAAUAGCUCACCAUCACUGAAAGAUAGAUAAAAUAACCAGAGAACAAUUUUUUUUUUUUUUGUCUUUUGUACUUUUUGUACUAAAUUGUAUGAUAUUUUCAAUACAUGUAUCACUAUUUUAUUAUGUCUUGUUUACCAGUUUAGAGACCUAUGUGGCUUUUGUGUUUGAAUAGUAUGGUAUUUCUCAAAAGUCAAACGAGUCAAAUUGUACAAUUCUGAGAAAAAAAGAAGGUCUUCUAGGACCCCUUUUUUGUUUUUUUUUUCUUAACAAGACAUAAAGUGAUCUUUAUUUUUUAUUUUUUUUGAAAUCAUGUGAUUUUUAGUUUGAUAUUAUGAUUUACUUUGUCUAAUUAACUGAGUUUAUUUAGAGAAGACUUUUUUUUUCUUUUUUUGCUUUUAGAAAAUAGAAAAAUAGAUUUGGUCUAUUAUACAAAUAGGAAGGCCUUACAUUGAUGUUUCUUUUUUAAAUACUAAUUAAUAUGUUGGUACAUGAGAUCUACUAAUAUUUAAAAUCACAAAUUUAUUGGGACUAACUUAGAUUAAUUCUCUAUUACAGUUUAGAUUCUAUUCCAACAUAAGGAUAUAUUUAUAAUAUAUCAUCUCUAUUUCAUUGUCUGGGUACAUAAGUGAGAUUUUUUGUGAAAUUUCUUGCAGCAUCUUGAUGAGUUCUGGUGGUGGCAGCAUCUUGCUAUUGACAGAGCGGGGAGUGCUAAUAUAUCCGAUGGCUGGGUAAUACGUCAUCGUUUUGUUGCUUGGGCUCGAGGAAUGCCAGGUUUAGUACGGCUUUGGUGUAGAAUUGAUUUGGUACUGAUGGCAAAUUAUUGCAAUAUUUUUGAGAGAGAGGUGUGAAGGUUAAGAUUUUGCAGCGGAGAAGAAUUGAA
rnacentral:lncRNA from 1 species